CUCAUUUACCUCGAAGUGCCUAGGUCGCACCUUUUGAUUAAAUGAUCGAGCUACCUUCUGCUGAUAACACUGACCAUGACAGAGGGCUUUCAGUCGCUUUUCAUCGAUCAUGUUCAGCUGCUCGAGCCUUUGUUGUGUCCAUUCCUCCUUAGAUAAUCCAGCCUGGGAUAAAAUUCGUAGGGAAGGGAUUUCUACUUCCACGGGUAAAACUGCCUCCAUACCGUAAACCAGGGAAAAAGGGGUCGCCCCAGUAGAAGUUCGAAUCGAAGUUCGAUAUGCUGUUAGUGCGACGAGUAGCCUCUCGUGCCAGUCGCGGUAAUUUUCAGCCGUCUUGGCUAGGAUUCUCUUGAUGUUCUUGUUGGCAGCCUCUACAGCCCCAUUCAUUUGCGGGCGAUAAGGGGAUGAGUUCAGAUGCUGGAUCUUGAACUUAGAAAAUAAUUGGUCAAUCAGCUUGUUGUUCAGAUUUGUCCCGUUGUCGGUGACGAUGGAAUCUAGCACGCCAUAUCGAGCGAUUAUGUCACGUUUGAUAAACUUCAUAACAUUCCGUGCAGUUACACUUGCAUAUGAUGUGGCCUCGAUCCAUUUCGAAAAGUAAUCAAUUGCAACCAAGAUGAACCGAUGCCCGUUUGACGCCUUUGGGUUAAUUGGGCCGAUUACAUCGAUGCCCCACAUUGAAAACGGCCAUGGCUCAGAUAACUGAUGCAGUUCAGUUGGAGGGACAUUUAUCUUAUCUCCGUGAAUUUGACAAUGGUGACAACUUCGUGCAUGCUGAGCACAAUCAUUCUCUAAGGGGAGCCAGUAAUAACCCAGUCUCAUUAUCUUCUUGGCCAACAUACGUCCAUUCAUGUGAGGGCCACAUACUCCCUCGUGUAUUUCUUGCAUUAUUCGUGUGGCUUCUGCCGCGUCCACACAUCUUAGCAGGACUGAAUCAUACGAUCUUUUGUAUAGAUUUUCACUGCUGACGAAAAACUUUGAAGCCAUUUUCAUUAGGAAUUUUCGAUCAGAGGGAGUGCUUUGUUUAGGGAACUCCUGCUUCUGGACGUAUUUCAUGAUGUCGUAAUACCAGGGUCUCCCGUCGGGCUCUUCAGUUAUGGCCAUGCAGUAGGCCUGUCUUGCCAGGACUUCGAUUUUUAAAGGCUCAACUUCUAACCCUCUUGUUGCUUGCAACAUAGAUGAUAGCGUUGCUGGUGCAUCAGCGAACUGAUUAUGAAUUCUAGGUAGGUAUUCAAACGAGAUGUCUUGGAAUCUUCCCGCCAACUUUUCUAAGUAACCAUGAUAAGGCACAAGUUUGGCGUCUUCUGUCUUCCAUUCGCCCAAUGUCUGGAGGAUUAUUAAGGUAGAAUCACCGAACACCUUUAGCUUCGUCACUCCCAUUUCAAUAGCCGCUUGCAGGCUGAGGAUGCAUGCUUCAUAUUUGGCUAUAUUGUUGGUACAUAGAAACAUCAAUUUUGCAGCCACAGGAUAAUGCUGUCCAUUUGGGGAUAUCAAGACUGCCCUAGUGCCGGAGCCUGAUAAAUUUACAGCUCCGUCAAAGAACAUGCUCCACGUGUCUUCUUCUACCGCGGAAAUUCGAUCGUCCGAGGGAUUAUCCUUGCAUACUUCUUUAGGACAGUCUACUAACAUAUCAGCAAUCACCCGCCCUUUAACUGAUUUUUGUGACAUGACUUGAAUGUCGAAUUCCGAGAUCAGGAUUUGCCAUUUAGCCAAUUUUCCUACCAAUGCUGGGCGACUGAGCAAAUACUUAAUCGGAUCACUUUCGGUUACGAGGAAAGUUUGGUAAUGCAAGCUAUACUGUCGGAGUCUAUGCAACACCCAUACUAAUGCGGCGCAUGUUUUUUUUUAUUUGGAAUAGUUUUGCUCUGACGUGGUGAACUUUUUGCUCAAAUAGUAGAUGGCUCGCUCCUUCUGGUCAUGGGGCUCCUUUUGUGCCAGCAUUGCACCUAAGGACUCACUGCUGAUUGUAAGGUAGAGAAUUAAAGGGUGCCCCGGUACUGGAGGUACUAGAAUCGGGGGUUUCAUCAAGUAUUGCUUUAGGUCUUCAAAUGCCCGUCGGCAAUCAUCAUCCCAUUUAAUUUGUGCAUCUUUCCUAAGAAGUUUAAAGAAAGGUUUUGCAGUUUCAGAAAGCUGGAAAAUGAAUCGAGCAAUGUAAUUUAAUCUCCCCAUGAGGCUCCGGACUUCUUUUACAGUUGAGGGAGGAGGCAUCUCAAAUAUCGCCUUGGUUUUUGAUGGAUCUACUUCUAUCCCUUUACAGCUUACAAUGAAUCCAAGUAAUUUGCCAGAAGUUGCCCCAAACACACAUUUCGCCGAAUUCAAGCGCAACUUAAACUGGCGAAGUCGCUCAAAUAGUUUCUCCAAGGUCUUCACAUGGUUUUCUCCAUGUCUGGUUUUAGCGAUCAUGUCAACGACAUAUACUUCAAUUUCUUUGUGCAUCAUGUCAUGGAAAAGGGUGACCAUGGCUCGCUGGUAAGUUGCUCCAGCAUUUUUCAGGCCAAAAGGCAUGACCUUAUAAUGGAAAGUGCCCCAUGGAGUAAUGAACGUCGUUUUUUCCUUGUCUUCCUCCUUCAUCUUUAUUUGGUUGUAUCCCGAGAAUCCAUCCAUAAAAGAGAAUAGUUUGAACCCUGCAGUACUGUCUACCAAAACGUCUAUGUGGGGUAAUGGGAAGUCAUCUUUCGGGCUUGCUUUGUUCAAGUCACGAUAGUCGACACAAACACGUAUUCAACCAUCCUUCUUCUUCACUGGCACAAUGUUUGCUACCCAGUUGGGGUAUCGCGAGACUUCGAGGAAACCCACUUCGAGGAGCUUCAUUACCUCUUCUUCAAUCUUUUUUGACAAUUCCGGCUUGGUUCUUCUUAGCCGUUGUUUCUUAGGGGCUAUAUCAGGGUUAGUUGGCAAACUAUGCUCCACGAUCAUUGGAUCAAGGCCUGGCAUAUCCGCAUAUGACCAUGCGAAUACGUCUUGAUACCUCUUUAAAAGAGCAAUCAGGUUCGCAGCUUCUUCUUCAGGAAGGUUGGUGCCAAUCUUUAUCUCUCUUGGACCUUCUGUGCUGCCUAAAUUGACAGUGACGGUGUCUUCAAUGGUAGAGGGCCUUGUUUCCUCAUGCCGCUCCCAGUCUCAUUGAAUUUCAUUGGAAUUAUCAAAGUCAUCAUCUGAGCUAUCAGAAUUGCUAUCAUGGCUAUCCACGAUGCUAGUUUGGACCGCUCCCAUACCCUGGCCUACCGCUAGAUUAUUCCUGUGUCAUAGAGUAGAUAGGCUAAGAGGACAAAUAAGGUUAGUAGUAUGCAUGCUUUUUUUGGAAAUGUGAUAAAUUGUUCUUGAAGAUUUAGGAUAAGGAAACAUGAGGAGACCCGGGCCUCAGAUUUCUUCUUUCAUUUGAUGGCUGGCUAUCAUCAACGGGCCGGUUUGGUGUGUCUCCCCAUGCCCUCAAAAUGUUUUCAACUUUAUUUAUUAGUAGACGGAUUUACAAAGUGAUUUCAAAAAAUGGUUCCCCAAGUGGAACAGGUGUUGAAAACAAAACAAGCCAAACUCUUAAAAAAAUAUGUACAGGUUCCCACGUAGGGGAGUAUGCGAAGGAAAUAAAAAGGAUUCUACACGAGCGAGUCUGCGCCCAUUUCCCCUGGCGGUCCUUCAUUGAUAGUGCCCACGAAGAAGUCUUCAUACCAGCUACCAGCCACAUCUCCCUGUGCUUGCGGCUUUGCAGAUUCCAGAUCAUCCAUGCCUUCCCAUCCAUCAGGGACGAUGCGGCGAUGAUGAUCAUAGAAACUUUGGGGGAUUGAAUAAUUGACAUAGUAGUCAAAUUUACCACUUGGCUGACCCAAAGUGUCCAUGAUCAUCUCUCCUUUACGUGCUUCCUUAGCAUGCUCAGGGAACAUGGUACGAGUGCUGGGUACCACGAGGAGGUGAUUUUGGCCAAAACACAGCCACGGAGAGCGGAACGUGAAUACCCCAGCAUCUAAAAGAUCCUGAACCUUGUCUUUCAGGAUGGUACAACCAUCUAACGAGUAUCCUAAUUCUCCCGAAUGAUAAUCACAUUGCUUGGAUGGAUCAUAAUCAAGGAAGUACUCGGGAGUAGGAUGACUCAGUUCCCUGGCGAUUAGCCCUUGCUCUAGGAGGAUGGGAAAAACGAUGGUCAUCGAUUUAGGAAGAGGCGAAUACUGCCUCAUGCUUUUUUAGGACUGAGAUAGCCAGACCCCUUGCCAGAUCGCAUCAGUAGGGUCUUCUUCAUUUACUACUAAAUCUUCAUUAUGACGAGAGCGAAAUGUGCGGGUAGCUUGAGCAAAGUUUUCCGUCAAGUGGUGUACUGUCUCGCGUAGUUCAUCAACUUGGCGCUGAAGCUGGAUGAAUGAGAAGUUAUCGCCUGCUCCUUCUAACUGUUCUUCCUCAAUAGCACAUAUAGAAAUGUCUCCAAACAUGGUGGUCAUGUCAUCCGGCCCCUCUUUCUUUGAGGGCCAAGUUGUGCCCUCCUGGAUUACGGGCAAGUUUGAGCUCUCGGGGUUGAACCAAUUUGAAGUAUUGAUCACUCCUUCCUCUUCAUGCAUCAUCCGAGCUGGGCCUGGGAAAGUUUCCUCGAGACGGGGGUAUAAAAGGCUGACUUUUUUCUUUGCUUUUCUAUCCGGGAGGUAUCCUAAACCGACAGUGUAGGGUCUCCUCAGGGCUUCAAUAGGUUGACGGAUGCCCUGGCCUUCCUUACCAAGUCCUUGUCUUGGAAUGAAACCGUGUCCAACCAUGAUUUUUCCUACCAUGAUCGCAGCACUUGAUACUUCGAGGAUGAGGGGCAAGGUCCCUCGAUUUUCGUGUACAGUAGACACAAGCUUGAACGAUUGAUAGCUAGCUUCAUUCUUGUCACUAGGCUCAACAUAAGGAAUGGCUGUCUCGUGGUAGAUACGGUGGUCUUCUUCUCCUCGAACUGUGAUUAGCUUCCCUCCAACCACGAACUUCACACUUUGGUGGAGGCUUGAAGGUACUGCUCCUGCGAUGUGGAUCCAUGGGCGCCCUAAGAGGAAAUUGAACGCAGUGGAGAUAUCCAUUACUUGGAACAAAAUUUUGAAUAUAGUUGGGCCAAUUUGAACGUCGAGCUCAAUCUCUCCUACUGUUUCCUUCUUUGUUCCAUCAAAUGCUCGAACAGAAGUCUUGGGUACUUGGAUCCGUGAUUUGUCUAUUUGAAGGCGACAGAGUGUUGCUAGUGGACAUAUGUUAAGAGCAGAUCCAUUGUCAAUCAGCACUCGAGCAACGUGAGACGCGUUGCAUUUGACUGAUAUGUAGAGGCCUUUGGUGUGUCCUCUACCCUCCUCAGGGAUUUCUUCAUCAGAGAAUGCCAUUUGAUCCUUCAAUAGGAUGGUGCUAACAAAUUCCUCGAGUUUGUCAUGUUCAAUUGUUUCAGGGACAUGUACCUCACUUAAUACCUUCAUAAGGGAUUUUUGGUGCUUGACAGAUGUCUGAAGCAAUUCCAGCAGAGAGAUCUGUGCUGGUGAUUUUCGUAAUUGCUCCACCACAUUAUACUCGCUUGCCUUAACUACGGCCAAAAACUCCUUAGCUUCUUCGUCGGUGACGGGCUUAGCAGACUGCGUAUUUGCGUGAGCAUAGGUUCGCCCAAAUCUCAUGACUAAACCCACAUCGAGGUCAUAAGACCAUGGUACCACUUUGUUACAUUCAUAUUUGUAAGGCUGGGGGAUUUCAAUGAUUAUAGCUGCUUCCGCUAUCGAUGCUUCGAUUAUAUCCUCCGGUGGGGUGGAAUCUUUCUUCUUCCUUUCUGCAUUUAGCGCGGCACAUUCCUCAUCCCAGUUGAUGAGGACUUGCGAUAUAGUGGAAACUAUGCCGGUAUGACCAACAUGUAUGAUUACUCCGGCUUCUAUCAUUCUUGAUACCCUUGCUUUCAUUGUCCCAAAAGGUGGUAUUUCGUCAUUCGAAUAAUACCCGGUUUCCACUAGCCCUUGAUAGAUGUCAACAAUAGGGGUACUAACAUUUCUGAUUUGACUAGCUUCAGAACCGAAUAUCGCAUUUACUUUGUCAGCAUGAUCAGGGAGCGGAUUGCUUUGGACAUUUGGCCUCGUCGUCUGGAAUGAGAAGGCUUUGGUAUCCAGCAGGUUCUGGAUCCGAUGUUUAAGGAUGAAGCAAUCAUCAGUUGAAUGGCCUAUUUCUCCCAUGUGGUAAUCGCAUUUUUUGGACGGGUCGUAGCUGGCGAAGCUUUCAGCAUUGGGUCGUCUUGGCUCAAUCGAGAGGAGAUUCUUGUUCCGGAGGAUUGCCAAAACCUGGGAAGGAGAUCCCGGAAGCGGAGUGAAUUGUCUUCGGUUGUUGUAGCGUUGAGGCUGACGGCUAUUGGUUUGUUGUUGGCCUGUGCUUGUCUGAACAGUCGGGAGGUGACCGGUAUUUGCGGUGUAGGUGGCAUUGACAUCGCUCAGGGGCUCUUUAUCCUUUUUCAUGCUGAAUCUUCUGCUGACAGGUGAAGGCUCGGUGAACCAGCCAUCUCUUAACCCUAUCUCUAUCUGCUCUCCCACUGGAAUGAGUUGAUUGAAUGAUUCAGCGAUCGUAGUCACCAUCCGGUUGCGGUAUUCAUAGGGGAGUGUUUUGAUGAACAUUUUUCUUAAUUCAAAGUCAGUCGGUUCGGGACUGAUCUGGGCGGCGAGAUUCCUCCACUUGAUAGCAUAUUCUUUGAAAGAUUCCUGCUUCUUCUUUUCCGCGCGAUCAAGAUCCUCACGAGAAGGGGUAAUGUCCACUAUGAAUUUGUACUGCUUGAGGAAUGCCUCGCUUGCUUCACUCCAUGUUUCGAUGAGGUUUAUGUUUUUCUUGAUGUACCACCUCAAAGCAGGACCUACUAGACUUGACUGGAACAACUGGAUCAUUAAAGGCACAUUAUUAACGUACUGGGUCAUUCGAACCAAGUACAUUUGCAAAUGAGCCCUUGGGCAGGUUGUGCCAUCGUAUUUCUCAAAUUCAGGCAUCUUAAACUUUUCGGGCAUUUUGACUUUGGAGUAGAUGGAGAGGUCUGUUGGAGUAGGAUCCUGUAGGCCUUGCAGUUGCUUUAGCCUUUCUUCAAGCUUCUCCAGACGCUUAUCAUGCUCGGUCUUAGACGAAAUGUUGGGUUUUACUUUCUCAACGAUGAUUUGGUGUGCGUUGUCCUCCAAUUCAGGCAUGCUAUCAUCGAUUUCUCUUCCUUGUUCUCCUCGGGUGGAUGAUUGUGGUAAUACUACUUCGAUUGAGGCUGGGGUAGGAGUCAAUUUGCCCUGAAUGGAAUCUACUUGCUUUGAGAGCUGUUGAAGCACAUUGAAGACCUGCUUCAAUUCUCUUUCCAUAAUCUCGACACGGCUUGGUACAUUUUCUUCAGCCAUCUAAGCUUUUGGAUUUGGUGAAUAUGGCUAUGUUGUGAUUACCUGCUAACACAGGAAAUGGAGAAAACGUAAAUAAAGGAAACACAUGGAACACUAGCUCAUGGCAAGGGUCGAGUCAUUCUUAUUUAUUAACAAGAGAUUUAUACAAUGCCAAAAGGAUUUUUGACAUAAGUCAGGACGACCCUAGACAUUCACAUUAAAACACACAUCAAAAAGCCACAACGUCCAUUUUUAUAUGCGAUGGGAAGUCCCGAUCUUGCGACGCCGUUUGCUCUUUUGAGAUAACUUUGAUAUGCAACUCUUGCUGGUCUCCAAACUUUCUUCAAGAGACUUGAUCAUUUCUUGCUUGGUAAGUUUGCUGCUUACAUCAGGGAUUACCGGCUGCAACUCCUCAAGAAUCCCAUGGUUGAGGAUGUAAAAGGUGGAUGCAUGAUGGGCUUUUUCCUGUCCCUUCAAUCUUCUGGGUACGAUAAUCCUCUCUGGGUGGCAUCUAUCCCAUGCAUUCUGAAUUAUGUUGAUUUCCUCUGAGUAGUCAUAACCGGUGGGGUUGAAAGAAACCCGAAACAAUCCUGUCUUGAGUGGUGGCGGGACUUCUUGAAGGAUCCUUUACUGGCGAGCUACCCUAUAUGGAUAGUAUGAGGUAGCUCCGGAGAGGCCCAGCAGUGGGAUGGGAUCGUAAUAAUCAAGCGCGAAACGUGCCUCGCUCGCAAGGAACCACUUAGUUCGCCAUAUGAAUGUCUCUGGGACUGGGUUUUUUAAUAAUUUAAUCCAUCGAGAAUAUUCUUCAUUGGGAGAAUAUUUCUCCAAGCUUUGGAAUUUUUGCAGUGGUGCUUGAACUCAUUGAUUUCAAAUAUUUGCAUGAGGUGCCCAAAUCUUUUGAUAUGAGAAAAGAACCACAUUUGUAAAAUUUCUGGGGCAGCUCUCAUGAUCUUUUCUUUUCGAUCUUUGAAACGAUUAAGGGAUAAAAAUGUUUCGGCUAAAACCAUGUUUACAUAUCCCGCUCCAAAAGUGAUUUGAUUUAUCCCCACGAUUGAAGGAUUUAUGGCAUUCUUUCUAUGGGGAAAGAUAAUAAAUCCAAAGAACGCCAAAAGGAAGAUCUUGGUUUUUUGGGACAUUGACUGUUUUUCAAAGCAUUCGGUUAAGGAUGAUAGCGGGAAAGCAUUGUUGUUAGUUCUAACAAUUUCUCUUACUGAAUGAUUUUUUAAAAAACGUGAUAGACUGACUAUGGGGUCAAUGCCAAUUUGUGGCUUAGCAAGCUCUGCUCCCAAGGGCAUUCCUAUGGCGAGACUAUAUUCCUCCAAAGUGGGAGUUAGUUCAAAUUUGCCAAACACGAAAGUGGAUGUUUCCGGACACCAGAAAUGUGGCAAGGCUUGCAUGAUCCCAGAGUGAAUAUUGAUUUGGAGCAAUGGGAGGAGAUGACCAAUCCUCAUUUUGACACGCUCUUGGCCGAGCUGAUCUAACUGAUUCCACUACCUGAGGAGCUCUUUCUUUGGGGCAGGAAUGAACUUGAUAUCGAUUCUUCCCAUCGCAUUAAAAAAAGAGGCUACACAACCUGACCCUAUUUUGCCAUGAGCCAUAAAAGAUUAAGUAAAAGUAAAUAAAUUACUUUGCUUCUAAAUAAAAUGGCAAGGGCAAGGACAUACAGAUGGGAUGUGCAGCUCGAUUUCUAACUCAAAAGGCUUGAUGAAAUUAAAAGGGUAUCCGCCCGUCGCAGUCUCGCGUUAGCAGUAUACCCCCUUAACCUCGGCUAAGAAAUUCGGGGAAAAGAAAGGCAACCUUUACAUCGCAGUCUCGCGUUCGAGGUCGUAUCUUUCUUAACACUAUCCUAAAAAUCCUAUGGCGGCCCAGGUCCGGCGGCCGGGUUGUGUGUGCCAUGUGUAGUGCUAAAAUAGUAAAGCAUGCACAAUAAUUUAUAAUCACAAAACAAUAUAUAAAAUUAUGAUAAAUUUCUAAACUUUUGACCUGCAUAAAAAAAAAAAAAAACCUAAGUCAGUAAAGAAUUUAAAUAAGACAAAAAUGGCCUAAGUCCUCACUUCCCCAGCGGAGUCGCCAAGCUGUCGCGACCUCUUUUUUUUUUGCGCCCGUGAUCGGGUACGGGCGCCUAAGGAGGCUAAUGGCUCGGCUGAAAUUAGUUAUGCCUGGACUCUCCCAAGUCCACCAAUUCGCAACUUAAUGGUUCAAGUUUUUAACUUGUAAAUCAAUUUUAAAACGGAGUCGCCACUAAUCAAUUUGGGGUGGGUCGAUUAGAAACCCAAGCAAAGUAUCGGGAGAAAUACUUGCUCCUGCGCAACCAGAGAAAUUAAGAUCGGGGACUUGAUUACACUAAUUAAUCACUAAUGCCCUUUCGGUACCUAAUCUUGUUUAAAUCCUUAGGCUUUUUAGAUGUUCGAGGGAUUUUCCAUGCAUUUUUAGGAGGAAAAACAUGUUUUAGUCUUUUUUCUAAUUUUUGGACACAAAAGGGAUUUUUUGGUAUUUUUGACAUUUUUUGGAAAAUAUGGAAUAUUUUUGAUUUUUUUGAUUUUUCGAAAAAUAAAAUAUUUUUAUCAUUUUUUUAUUAUUUUUCGAUUUUCUGGGAAUUAAAACAUUUUUAAUAUUUUUUGGAAAAUAAAAUAUUUUCUUUGGAUAUUUUUUUUUUAAAUUAAAAAUGCUUUUUUUUAAAUAUAUAUAUUUUGAAAAGAAAAUAUUUUUUGCUUUUUUUGAAAAUAAAUUAUUUAUUUAUUAUUAAAAUAUUAUAUUAAAAUAAAAACCGACCCGGGUCGGAUCCACGGGUUGUGCCCGACCCGGGCUGGCGACCCGAACGAGGACGGGCCCGACUCAGAUUUUUUCAUCUUUUUUCCCCCUUUUUUUUUUUUGAGCGAAGGGACCCAAGCCCACAACGAAAUUGGGCCCUUCCGCGUAAAACAAGCCCGUGCGCAAACGAGCCCAGCUGACCCAGGCCUACGAAAAUACCCGCCCGGCUUGGAAACCGGGCCAGUCCCAGUCCGAGCGACUAAAACCCUAGGGGAACCGGGUCAUCCGCCCGACCCGAUUCCGCUCCACUUCGCGACUUCCUCUCUCUCUCUCUCAACUCGCGGCGCUGAAGGAAGGGCUGGGGCGGCGGCUUGUAGUGAUGACGACGGUGACGCAGAGGACGGCGGUGGCCGGUCGUUCGUCGAACUGGAGAGCGUGACUCAACAACAACAGCCGGGAUCUAUUUGGUCGGUCGGGACUAGGGUUUAGGGCUUCACGAACGGGGGGCCGACGGCAACGACGCGGUAAACAGGGACGGCGAGGGGUGGCGAGUGAAAACGACGACGGCCAAGAGGGGCUUGAUACCUGCUUAUGGAGAGGAUACGGCGCGGCGGCGUGGCUGGUUGGCGAGAUGGAAUCGUUGGUGGUGGAGGCUUCGUCGGUGGCGUCGAGGAGGGAUCACAGCAUGGUGGUGAACAAAUCCGAGCCUCCCCCUUCUGAUUUCCUUUCGCUCACCCCCCUUCUUCGCAGAUCUAACCCCUCGUGCUCGGAUCUCUCUCACUCUCGAUCAGAUCUCUCCCCCUCCGGCCAGAUCCGAGCCUCCACCGGCCGAAUCUGACCUCUUCGGACUCGCUCGCCGGCGGCCUCCCCCGAAGUCUCUCAGUGGGAGGUCGGCCUAGCUCGCGACCCGAUUCCUCUCUCGCUCGCCUUCUUCUCGUUCGUUCUUCAACCUCCUCCGAAGUCUCUCAGGAGGAAGCUUCCAGGCUCACGAUCUUCUGGCCUCUCCCUCCGUCAACGGUGGCCCCCCUCUAUUUAUAGGCGCGAGAGCGGCCGGUCGGCGAGGCCUCGACCCGCCGGUUGGACCGCCGUCCCAUCCACCAUCAUCACCUCCUCCGGUCAUGUCCCGUCGACGCCACCUGCUCCUCUGCUCCGCACGCGACUGCCGUCCGUCCACCCCCUUCCUCUCCAUCGCGCCCUCUGCGUGUGCGCUACAGAGGCACGAGGAAGAAGAAGAUGCGGUGGGGGCCGGGCUUGGCGGAAAUGGGCUGAGAGCCCAUGGAGGGGCUGCCCCUCUUUUGCUUUUUUUUUUUUUUUUGCUUUGUUUUUGUUGUUGGUUUUUUGGUUUAUUAUCCGAAAAUCAAACAAAAUAAUAAUAAAGUCUAAUCUAAUUUUAGGCGUCAACAUCAUCUAAAAUGACUUCAGUUAUGACUCAGAUUCAUAUGGACCCAAUUUCGAUCUUGCCCAUUUGGUGGGUUUAUGUCCCAGAAAUCACAAUGGAAGAUUAAAUAAAGAUUGGUACAAUGCAAGAGAAAGAGAUGGCUUUUUAUAAUGAAAGAUGAUUCUUUCGUGUUUUAUUUUUCCUAUUUGAGGAUUCUUUUUCAAUUUAUUUAAAGGUUCUCAAAGUGAAGAAAUGAUUACACAUGGCAAAGAGUAAAUAAAGAAGCAAAAAAUGAAUAAAUAUGUUGAGAACAACAUAGGUGUAAAUAAAACUAAUGUUUAUAAAGUUUCACCUAAAAAAUCCGACCAAGUGACUAGUCAAGUGGUUCAAGACUUGAUUUAUAAGUCAAAGGUCGCAAGUUUAAUUUCCCAAUCUAUUAUCCAUUUUGGGAUAAUUAUGCGAAUAACUUGGUGGAAUUAAUUUGAACAAUAUCUUAUGGCCAACAAAUUCACCCGUUUGGGGUCAAAGAUUGUUGUGGGUUGGAGAAACUCCAAAUAGAAUUUCUAGCAAAAACAUUUGAGUUGCCGUUGAUGCCCCUCGAUGAAGGGUUGUGACUCCACUUUGACGAAUUUCCACUUCCACCAUGAAGUUGAGACAAUUUCCUUCAUUCGCAAUAGCAUAAUUAACAACAAUCUUUUUCGACAAUAACAAUAAUAAUAGACAAUUUCAUCUCCAUACUGGAAAAAAAGGCAAAUAUAUGGUGGAGUAGUCAGCACUAAGCAUUUGACCCUUGAGAUUUCAUUUGCUUCCAAUUAUAUAAACACAAAAUCCUUUUCUUCUCUCGAAUAAGUAUAAACUUAUUUGGUAUUUCAGCACACGAAGUUACAAUUGAUGCGGAAUUGCAACAAUCAAGUCAUAACGAUGAAUUAAAUGUUGAUGAUAAGCUUUUAUAGAGGAUGAUAGUGUGAGACGGUUGAAUAAAACACAUAUUUUGUAGGUAUUGUGGCUCGAAGGCAAUUUUAGUACAAAGAAAGGUGGUGUGUCCCUUGUUUUUAAUUAGCGGAGUGUAGGAUUUGGGAGACUUUUUUUUGUUCAAAAAAUAAUUUUGGAUUCUUUGAGGUCAAGCAUAAUCAAAGGACGUGUUUAUUUUUAUUUUUUCUAGUGAUUAUGUAGAUGUUGAAGAUGAUCAGAGGACACACUGUACAACCUAUGCGCAUUGAGGAGAGGCCCAGAGAUGCAAACAAUCUAAUAUUGUCUCUAAUAAUCCGUCCAUUAGUAGUGAAGGUGGAUUUUGAUGGUACAAAACGUUUGAUAGAGUGAGCUUGUCAUGUUCCACUGUAGAAAGAACAGGAAAACUACUUUGGCCUUCCAUUACAGUAGAAGGUCGACAUUCUCUUCCUCGAAUUUUUCAAAUGUCGUUCCUAUCAUCCUUGCCGAGAUAUUCAUUCACCUCACCAGCAAUUGGCACCGAAGUGCUUGAGGCCUACCCUUCUUUUUUGGGGCACAUGUGGCCCAAGAGCACGGGUCCGAAGUUGCACGGCCCGUUGGCCAUCCUAGCUAAAAUCUAUCUGGGCUCAUGUAUAGAUAUUAGAACAUUUUCUGAUGGUCGAGGACCCUUCACUAAAAAGAAGUUGUUACCGACACCUUCAUAGAUAUUUUUGUAGCUCCAAUCCAUCUCAUUCGAACAUCAAAUCACAUUUCCCAUCUUGCAUUCACUUUAUGUCCGUCAUCAUUGUCUCCUGUCUUUCACCGAAAGCGUUAUCGAUAGCCUCGCAGAUAAUUUCGGAACCUUAACCUUAGCCCAUCGACAUCCGUAAAAUUUCCCCUCUCGUAGUCACUCUGUGUCCUUUUUAUCCUCCACCGAAAAUUGUUGGUGACAGCUUCGUUGACGUUUUAAGAGCCUCGACCAAUCUUUUUGAGACAUCUAUCCACAAUUCGCAUCUCCCCAUUCAAUCCGUGUCCUCUCUGUCUUCUAUCCUUUCACGGUAAUUCAGAUAUCUGUUACAUGUCCCAUCUCGAAACGAACAAGAGUGCAGAAAAUGCAGUAUGUUAGGGGCCCCACUGAACUUGUCUUUUAUGGGAAGAAGGAGCUCAUUUUGCAUUUCCCCUCUCUUUCCCCUCACUUUCCGGGGGAAAAAAUCUUGCGGGCCCCCACAGGAAAAUCUUUCUCUACGGUUCGCUUCGUAUUCCUUGAAUCUUUGUUUUCCUCGCUUCUUUUCACCCAAUUCCUGAAACCCGCUUCAUUCUACGAAAUGGCUCCAGUCGGAUUUAUAUAUAUGGGUCUUGCUCUCAAAAGAAAAAUCAUGGCAGCAAACAUUUGGAGUGGCUCCUUGUCCUUAAACAACAUCUUUCGCCCGAUGAGAAACUCGAAAUGUAAGAAUUAUCCCACAAGUGUUGAUGUCCUUGUUAAUAAUAAUAUGUAUUGACUUAACUACUAUAAUUGCAUGAGUAGACGGUCCUCAAAGAAACGUCAAUAACAUUGGUAAGCUUCUAAAUUCAAAUUAUGUUUUGCACUCGGCAUUAUAGCCUGUCGUUUUUUUUUUCCUAGCCCAUCAAGCCAUACUAAGAAUGAAGUAAAGAAGAGAUGGAGAUGGUUUGCACAAAGAAAAAAGUAGAUGAACAAGACGACGUCUUCGUCCUCAGCAAUGGUGCAUAGAGAUAUUGUGUAGAGGAGCGAGAGGUUCUUUUAAGUUCUUUCGUUGAUCGAUAUCUUGCAAUUAUUUAUCUUAUAUCAUCUAUUUUUAAAUAUUGAAAUUGAAUAUCAUGGCUACAUAUGGAAUAUGUACCCUUUUAACUAGAGAUUCUUGUUAGGUCCAUAGUUGAUAGAAUAACAACUCCAAUUGUGACACUAAAACAAUUAUACGUGCAUCAUGAUUAUUUGAUUAUGUUGGGUUAUUUAAAUUUUUUGGUCAUAUUUUUAAGUAUGUUUUCCCAUCAUUUAAAGCAGUUUUUGCUUUGGGUUAUCAACUGAAUAUGUUUUUUUUUUUUUGGUAGGAUAAUCAAUCGAAUUGAGAAGUCGUUUUUUUCAGAAUAUUUAUUGUUGUCAUUCGUAAAACAAUUUGUGCAUUGGGACCAAAUAUGUAAUCAUAUAUGGUUAUGCACAUAUUAAGUCGAAGCUAGAUGGGACAAAGUUUAGAGAGAGAGAGGAUAGCACAAUGGAAUUGGGUCCCCUGGCGUGAGGUUGAAAAUGCAAGAAGCUUUAAUAAUUGCAUCCCGUUCCACAAUGUAUAAAGUCAUAUAUGCAUCGCGAGGUUGACCUAACACUAACCUUCAAUAAUUGCAACGUGAUCCACGAUGGCAAAAAAACAACUUAACUCCAAGCCGAUUAAACUCUUAACCUCGCUUUGUUCUGUCUUUCUCCCUCCUCCUCCUCCUCCUCUGCAUUUUAGAGAGAGAGAGAGAGAGAGAGAGAGAGAUAGCAGUAGUAGCAUCAAAGGAACGACUGUGGACACGUGUGGUUGGUACUUGUUAGGGAAGGAGAGAGACGCAAGGAUUUGGAGUUUGUAGAUAAUUGGAAAGACGGUCAUUGAAUUGUUAACGAGGUGUAGUCAAUCAAUGCAAUCGUCCGGUUUUCUUUAAAAAUAUUUAAAGUGAGGUUUUGAGAAAUAAGUGAUGAGUAUAAUUAGUAAUUUCAAUACAAAAAAAGAAACAUGAAAAGGUGUCUGUCAUGGACCUUCAAUUUCUCUCAAUGGAGUUGUGCAUGUAGCUCAAAGCCUAUGCAUGUUCACAAGAUUAACAAAUUGUCGUUUUUUAAAUUUUAAUGAAGUGCCUAGAAGCAUUCAACAUAUCUCCAUCAAACGUGGCACUUCUUCCAUUUCAUACACAUCGGAUAAUUAUCGAAGAUUAAUAGUUUUUAUUACUACAUAAAUUUACCAUUUAUAUUAUUAUCGUUUGAAAAUGGGCAAGUUGCCACGCUCGAUUUUUUCAUCUCGAAUUCUCUUCGAAGUUAAUUUUGGUAGCUUAACGGUCUACACUUGGGAGCUGAGCCCCCCUUCCCUUUUUUUCCCUUUAAUUCUUUGGAAGGUUUGGUGAGUUUUUUUUCUCUACUAUAAACUAUUAGUUAUUUAAAUUAUAACCUUAAUCUCACAUUAUUCAUAUUUUUUCAUGUGAAAAUAGAAUCAAGAUGUCGGGAAUGAGAAACUACUUUAUUAAACUUCACAUACUAAAAUGAUAAGGUAUGAUCAACUAAAAUCUAAUGAUAAAAAGUUUCGGUCACCAGCUUGGAAGAAUUUAUGGUUUGAUGACUGCAGCAUAAUCGGCCUAAAUAUUAAGAUUGAUAGGGAAACUGAGCACGACUCUCGUGGCUCUUAUCUUAUUACGUUUUGUCAAAUAAAUUGGGUGCUAUUAGAGACACAAAUGCCUAUCUUCUCCAUGAUUGAUGUAGGGGGCUGAAUAUUUUCCUAUACUUUUCACAAGUCAAUUGUCGUACAGAGCAUCUAAGCAAAAGAAAGAUGGGACAAUUCGGUGGAGUUGGGUUCCUCGGUGAUUGGCUGAGUAGCCUUCACGUGCAUGAAGCCGUACUGCCCAUGCGCACCACUAGGUUGACAUAACACGCAACUUUAAUAAUUGCCAAGCCACCGAUGAUGACCAGGCAGCAACUUCAUCUCCACCCUGGUUAACUCUUAACAUCACUUUGUUCAAUCUUCCUCCUCCUCUGCGUUUUAGAGAGAGAGAGAGAGACAGUGCACCGUCCGAACUGGCAUUGCCCAUUGGCUAUCCUAAUUAAAAUCCAUUCGGGUUCAUGUACCAUUUUCUGAUGGUCGAGAAUCCUCCACUUAAAAAAAUGUUGCCGACAGCUUCAUAGAUAUGAUAUUUUAGGGACUUCAGCCCAUCCCAUUCGAACAUCCAUCACAUUUCCCAUCUCGUGUUUGACUUUAUGUCCGUCCUUCACAGUCUUCUUUCACCGAAAGUGUUGCCGACAGCUUCGUAGAUAAUUUGGAAAGUCAACCCAUCAAUUCGGACAUCUGUAAAGUUUCCCAUCUGGCAGUCACUCUGCGUCCUUUCUAUCCUUCACCAAAAAUUGUGGGUGACAACUUCGUUGACGUUUUAUGAGCCUCUUCCAAUCUUAUUCAGACAUCUAUCCACAUUUCCCAUCUCCCGAUUCAAUCCGUGUCCAUAUUGUCUUCUAUCCUUCACCAUAACUCGGACAUCUGUCCCCUGUCGCAUCUCCAAAUGACCAAGAGUCCAGAAAAUGCAAACAUGUAAUGGGCCCACUGAGCUCGUCAUUUGAGGAAAAGAAAGAGCCCCAUUUUGCGUUUCCCACUAUUUUCUCCCCACUUUCCGAAGGAAAAUAUGUUGCGGGCCCCCACAGGAAAAUCUUUCUCUACCGUUCUCUUCGUAUUCCUUGAAUCUUUUAUUUUCCUCACUUCUUUUCACCCAAUUCCUGAAACCCGCUUCAUUCUACAGAAUGGCUUCAUUUGAUUAUAUACAUACGGGUCUUGCUCUCAAAAGAAAAAUCAAGGCAGCAAACUUUCGGAGUGGCUCCUCGUCCGUAAACAACAUCUUCCGUUUGAUGGGAAACUCAAGAUGUAAGACUUCUCUCACAAGUGUCGAUAUCCUCAUUAAUAAUAAUAAUAAUAAUAAUAAUAUGUAUAGACUCAGCUAUAAUUACAUUAAUAGAUGUUACUCAACAAAAUGUCAAUAAUAUCAUCAAACUUCUCAACUCAUAUUAUCUUUUGCACUCUGCAUUUAAAAAUGAAGUAAAGAUGAGAUGUAAAUGGUUUACACAAAGAAAAAAAGUGGAUGAACAAGGCGACGUAUUUAUCUCAGCAAUGGUGCAUGCAGAUGUUUUACAUAGGAGACAAAGGUUCUUUUCAUUUCUUUCGUUGAUCAAUAUCUUGUAAUUUUUUUUUUAUCUUUUAUUAUCUGUUUUUCCAUAUAGAAAUUGAAUAUCAUGGCUACACAUGGAAUAUAUAAAUUUUUAACUAGAAAUUUACUUAGGUCCAUAGAAUAACAAAUCCUACUACGAGACUAAAAUAACUUUACAUGCAUGAUGAUUAUUUGAUUAUAUCGGGUUAUUUAAAUUUGUUUGUCAUAUUUAUAAAUAUGUUUUCCCGUUGUUUAAAGCAAUUUUUGUUGUAUAAAGCAGUUUUUGUUUUGGGUGAUCGAUCAAAUGUGUUUUUUUUUUUGGUGAGGAUGAUUGACCCAAUUAAGAGGUUGGUUUCUUUAGAAUAUUUGUCGGUCUUGUCCAUAAAACGAUUUGUACGAAUUUGGGACCAAACGUUUAAUCAUAUAUGGCUUUGCACAAAUUAAGUUGAAGCUAGUGGGACAACGUUUAAAUUGAUAGAGAGAGAGGAUAGUACGGUGGAGUGGGGUCCCUCGGCGUGGGGUUCAAAAAGCAUGAAGCUUUAAUAAUUGCAACACGAUCCACAAUGUAUCAAGACAUACUGUCCAUCUGCAUCACGAGGUUGACAUGACACCCCAGUUAAAUUCUUAACAUCACUUUGCUUUGUCCUCCUCCGUUUUAGAGAGAGAGCGCGCGCGCAAGGAGCAAUGAUCGUGGAGGUGUGUGGUCAGUACAUAUUAGGGAAGGAGAGAGACUCCCAAGGAUUUGGAUUUUACAGAGAACUGGAAAGAGGGUCAUUAAAUUGCUAACGAGGUAUGAUAAAUCAAUGGAAUCGGGUUUUCUUUAGGACUAUUAAAGUGAGAUGUUGAGAAAUAAAUGAUGAGCAUAAUUAGCAAUUUCUAUACAAAAGAAAAAUGAAAAAAGGCAACUUUCAUGGACCUUCAAUUUCUCUUAAUGGAGUCGUGGAUGUAGCUCAAAGCCUAUGCAAGUUCACAAGAUUAAUAGAUUGGUGUUUCUUAGAUAUUAACGGAGUGCUUAGGCCUCUUUGAGCAUCUCACGAAUCUCCAUCAAAUGCGGCGAUCCCUCGAUUUUAUACAUAUCGGAUAAUUACUGAAGACAAACAAUUUUUAUUAAUAGAUUGGUUAUAAAUUAUCUUUUAUAUUACAUUCUUUUGAAAAGGGCAAGUUGCCACAUUUGAUUUUAUCAUCUCAGUUUCUAUUUGAAUGUUGGUUUUGGCAACUUAACGAUCUAAAUUUGGGAGUUGAGCCUCGUUCCUUUUAUAUAACAGUUCCUUGAGUAUCAUAAUUUUUUGUCAAUUAAAUGAGUGUCAUGACUUAAAAAUAUUUUUAUUUAAGUGUCAUGGCCUUCAAUUGCUCAUUUAAAGACUACAACUCCCAUCACUAUUGGGCAACGUCUUUGAAAAGGUUAUAAUGAUCAAGUGAAUAUUUUUUAGAGGUUUUAAAAUAUUUAAAUGAUCGGAAAAAAAAUUUAUAAUACUUAAAUAAGCGUCAUAUCUAGUGACCUUUUUUCAAAAUUAACCUUGUAUAGCUAGGGCAUUAUAGACUUCUACAUGCUAUGACAAUACAAUCGCGAAAGCACUGCAAGAUGCUUUUGCAUGAAAAUGAUACAAACUUUUAUGAAGAAGAAGGGACGGGAAGAGCGUUUUGGUCAAAAUUGGUGGUCUCCACGUGAUACGACAGUAGAAAGCAUUAUUGCACUCAGCGGACUCUAUCGUUGUGCAACUUUAUCAAAGCUGAUACUUAAAACUGCUCAUGAAACGACUGAAAUUGGAGUGCAUCAUCUGAAUCGGAUUCUGGACUCAUAGAGAUUGGGGCCUCGCCGCUGUUGACAGCUGGAGCUGAGCACGUAUGAAAUGAUUGAUGGACAAUGAUAGUCAUAGACAGCUACUUAAUUGUCGCAUUCUUAGAGCGAUGGGGUCCGAAGGCAAUUUUAGUCCAAAAAGAAAUGGUGGAGUGGAUUUUUUUCGAACCGUUAAAUUGAGGUUCUCCAUUGAGGUGCAUCAUCUGAAUCGGAAUCUGGACCAUAGCUCGGUCCCAAAUGGAGAUUGGUGCAUCGCUGCUGCAGUGCUGCUGAUUUCUAGAGCUGAGGUCAGAUGUGUUAAACGAUUAAGCAUUAAUCAAAUGGGAGAAAAUAUUUGGGGGUCCCGACUGCCAAGCCAGCGUGUACCCCGACCAAUGAGGAAGUGACGCGUGGCUCCACGAUGCGCUAGCUGCUCCACUGGUUUUCCUGCACAAAAUAUAUUAUUGUCCCUUUUCUGCUUAAGAAUUUACAGUCAUUAAUAGAUCUGAUGCCGCUUUAAAUUCUCUCCUCUCUAAUGGAGUAGGCCUGAAUGCAUUAAAGGAGCUUUGUCUCUCGUCAUUUCUUUCCUUCUCAAUUCAAAAUUUUGGGUGAGAAUUCUCUGGCCCAAAAGCACGUUGCUCCUCCGCCUUGCUUCGGCGCCGGUUCAUCUUCGCUCUCUGCCCCAAAGCUCGUUGCUUCUUCGGCCUGCGUUGUUGCAUUCCUUCUCCGCCCUCUGCUCCGGUGUUGUUUCCCUGCCCAAGACGGUGAGGAAUGUUCUUGCUGUAAGUCGCAAACUCCAAGCGACAAGAAGUUCCAGCUCUCUCCGAUUCGGCUUUGGAUCUGCUACGUUCGCAGCUCAUAACAGUGAGUUGAUUCUUUCCCUGAUUUUUUUACUCUUCUUUUCUUUUCUUUUUCUUUGCUGUUUUUGCCUCUUUUUAUUUGUUAAGUUUUAGUUUCUUUUGUUGGUGGGUGAUUGCACGAGCUUGGCUAUCGAGUCGGCAAUUUUGCCCGUGAGUGUCCGGUGUUGUGAUUUUUGGGAGGUUGGUUUGUCUAGGCUAGUGUCACGGGUCGAGAGAUUCCUUGGCCUCGGAAACGACCCGCGGGCGCCUAGCGAGCGGAAUUCGCCAGGCCAGCCCUUUCUUUAGCUGUUCCACGAACGAUACGGUGAAUGAUUCUUCGUACGAGAUCCUACCACGCCCAGCUUCGCUCGGGCGUCUAGUCCAUCGAGUAAGACAGCAGUUCUCUUUAGGCACAACAAAUGGUUUCGACCUGCCAUGGCCUCGUCAGGAGAGCGGCAUCAGCUCCCGACCAGUUUGUGCACGGGAGGCCUACCCCGUCUUCAGAGCUCCUAAGUGAUAUAAUCCUUCUAUCCUAGAACUCCUAGCACCAACCGUCCUGACGCCACUCCCACGGACCAGUUGUGUUCUACCCUUCUGCCUCACACUCUUUACCAAAUAACCCCAAGCGCCACUCACAAGUGUCACGAGUACGGGAGGAUUCACGGACCGUGACAUUCUCCCCCACUCAAUUCGCAACGCUCUCGUUGCGAUCUCUACUCUGUCGCUUCCUUGCGUAAAUUAACCAUUGACGUGCCACUUUUGGGAAUUCACAUCGAACGGUCACGCUCGCCCAACAAAACAGGUUUUGCUCCAUUGGUGGCCUCUUUUGAUCUCAGCCGCUCGGCCCUUCGGUCACCUGCGCUUUCCGGCAAGUGUGGCAUCUUUCGCCAACCGCAUCUUUUGGUAGCNNNNNNNNNNNNNNNNNNNNNNNNNNNNNNNNNNNNNNNNNNNNNNNNNNNNNNNNNNNNNNNNNNNNNNNNNNNNNNNNNNNNNNNNNNNNNNNNNNNNNNNNNNNNNNNNNNNNNNNNNNNNNNNNNNNNNNNNNNNNNNNNNNNNNNNNNNNNNNNUUGCCUCUUUUUAUUUGUUAAGUUUUAGUUUCUUUUGUUGGUGGGUGAUUGCACGAGCUUGGCUAUCGAGUCGGCAAUUUUGCCCGUGAGUGUCCGGUGUUGUGAUUUUUGGGAGGUUGGUUUGUCUAGGCUAGUGUCACGGGUCGAGAGAUUCCUUGGCCUCGGAAACGACCCGCGGGCGCCUAGCGAGCGGAAUUCGCCAGGCCAGCCCUUUCUUUAGCUGUUCCACGAACGAUACGGUGAAUGAUUCUUCGUACGAGAUCCUACCACGCCCAGCUUCGCUCGGGCGUCUAGUCCAUCGAGUAAGACAGCAGUUCUCUUUAGGCACAACAAAUGGUUUCGACCUGCCAUGGCCUCGUCAGGAGAGCGGCAUCAGCUCCCGACCAGUUUGUGCACGGGAGGCCUACCCCGUCUUCAGAGCUCCUAAGUGAUAUAAUCCUUCUAUCCUAGAACUCCUAGCACCAACCGUCCUGACGCCACUCCCACGGACCAGUUGUGUUCUACCCUUCUGCCUCACACUCUUUACCAAAUAACCCCAAGCGCCACUCACAAGUGUCACGAGUACGGGAGGAUUCACGGACCGUGACAUUCUCCCCCACUCAAUUCGCAACGCUCUCGUUGCGAUCUCUACUCUGUCGCUUCCUUGCGUAAAUUAACCAUUGACGUGCCACUUUUGGGAAUUCACAUCGAACGGUCACGCUCGCCCAACAAAACAGGUUUUGCUCCAUUGGUGGCCUCUUUUGAUCUCAGCCGCUCGGCCCUUCGGUCACCUGCGCUUUCCGGCAAGUGUGGCAUCUUUCGCCAACCGCAUCUUUUGGCAGCACCAUUUCAGCCUAAUUAGCAUCUUGACCCCAGCAAACCAAUGGAGGUUCUUUUUCUUGUUGAAAACGCGGCAGUAGACCUCUUCUUCGUAUUCACGAUCAAUCCGGGAACGUUAUCCCCAUUCAGCAAGGGUUCGGUUCUUCUCUAACUCGCAUUCCGCUCGACGAGAAGCCGACUCGUCCUAGCACCCAUCCACUAGGACUUAUCUGUUGAACGCAAAUUGCGCAACCCCAAGAUCUCCAUAACCAGAACAAGAACAUGCAUAAUUGAGUAGAAAGAUUAACGCACCUGUUUUAGGAUCCAUCGAACAUAAAGCGGAAACAUAAAAAGGAUUACCCACAUAUAUCAAGGGAAUCCACGCAUCAAGUCCUUCUCCUCUAUUGCCCUCCGUAUCACUGGCUCAAUGAGCCAAGAUCUCCAUAACCAGAACAAGAACAUGCAUAAUUGAGUAGAAAGAUUAACGCACCUGUUUUAGGAUCCAUCGAACAUAAAGCGGAAGCAUAAAAAGGAUUACCCACAUAUAUCAAGGGGAUCCACGCAUCAAGUCCUUCUCCUCUAUUGCCCUCCAUAUCACUGGCUCAAUGAGGCAGCCCCCCUCACGUUUAGCGUUAGGUAAACGCCCCUUAGGUGAGGAUACAUGUGAGAAUUAGGGUUAGAGGAGAGACUUGAGCACUAUUUAUAGAGUUUCCAGCCAGUCCCUCUCAUUACGGGCCAGGCUCAACUCGGCCCACACUAGCCAGCUCAUAUUAAACUAAUUAAGAAACCUUCUAUCUCACCUUAGAUCAACCCUGUUUUACGGUAACCGUAAAAACAGUAAAUUACAAUAUCAAUUAAUUUAGUCCACAUUUGGAAAAACUCUUACAUUCUCCCACUUGGACUAUAUUAAUUGAAAUCGUAUUGUAUGUGCGCACAUUUGGUCCAGAGAUAAUUCUUAAUAGUCAAUCCUAUCCCAUAAAGUCUUAAACACCGAAUCAUGGCGGUAACUGCAUGUAUACACACAAAGCCUUCCAUGGUCACGAAUGUUUUCAACUUUAUUGAUAUGGAUUCAAUAUGGUAGUGUGUCAAAUGGAUAACAUCUCUCAUAGAGAGAUCUCAUUUGUCAGUCACCAUUCUCUUACCUUAGGCGUCACAAAAAAACUUGUGCCACUAGAGAAUGCUUUAUGGUUCCAAUGAACCCACAUAUGUCUUGUCCUUAUGGUUAACCUUUAUUUAUGUAUCACAAGACAUAUGCACAAGGCUAAUAACCGGAUGCCCGGAUGCCCCUAGCCUUCACUCAAGGUCUAUACAAUCCCUUGAGACUUUAUCAAUAUGUAUUCAACAUAAUAACAACACAUUUAAAAUAUUUUAUUGAAUGCAAAAGUUGAUACAUAUCAAACCGUUACUAAGUGUAACGAACCACAGAUGUGAACUUUAUCAGAGUAAAGCUAAAAUAGCUCCCACUAAACAACAGUAUCCGAAGAUACUCCUAGGCCCAUGUUUACAAUAUGUUACUAAAAUAUACAUGGGCGUAGGCCUUUAGUUUGUGGAUCUGCAACCACAUCAUCUGUGAAAAUAUAUUAUAUCAUAAGUCACCUUUCUGUACCGUUUCUUUAUGGUAAAAAAUAUUUGACCACCAUAUAUUUAGACCCCUUGAGACCUCUGUAGUAAAUAAAUAAUACUACAAAUUUGUUAUCUCAAUACAACCGUAUGGGUCUAUCCAUAAAGUUAAAAUAAUUAACUCCUUUCAUGGGGUUCUGGAGCCUAAAAACCCAAGUAACAGCUUAAAAGAAUGUUACUAACACUGCUUACAUAGUAGAAGAUGACAUAAAACUUUAUUUACUGCACUUACUGCUAACAUAAAUAUGUAUUCUGUUAUUGAGCGCAUGUCAUCAGAACAGCCAGCAAAGUUUACAUCUAAAUACUCUACUAACUGCAAGAAUUGAACAUGUCUAUAAAUUAGCAUAUAAUCUCUUGUCUUCUUUAAGUACCUUAAAACCUUCUUGACAGCAACCCAGUGAUCAUGUCCUGGAUUUGACCGAUAUCUGCCUAGAAGUCCCGUCACAAAGACAACAUUUAGUCUAGUCAAAUUCGAGCAUACAUUAUACUUUUAAGUGCACUUACACAAGGUACUCUCUUUAAUUAGAUUUUCUCAAUAUUUAAAUAAGGACAAUGUGAUAGAUUCAGUCCAUCACCCUUAACAACAGGAGCAAUUCCUGGCUUGCAAUGAUGUAUAUUUAAUAUUUUCAAAAUAUGAUAAGCAAAUGUCAUCCAAGAAAAUCUAAUAUAAAAUCCGAUAUCUAUGACAAGAACAAUUCUUAAAGACCUUAGUGUAAAAGAUGCAUCAAGGUCACUACUUGUAAACAAAAAUCAUGUACAUAAAGUAUGAGAAAAAAUAAAUUUCCUCCCACUGACCUUGCAGUAUAUUGAAUUACUUUGUUCCCAAUUGAACAAAAUAACAACACUAUGAAACUUUAAUAAUAUUGUAUGGAAACUUGCUUAAGACCAUGAAUUAGAACUUUUCAGUCUAUACACAAGUUUACUUAAAUCUGCUACAAAAUCAUCCAGUUGCACAAUAUAGAUUUUGUAUCUAUUUGGCGUAACUUUAUAUCAAAAUAAAUUAUUAAUGCCACGUUCACUCUGAAAGAAAAUUUAAAGAAAUAAUUAUUUCUUCACUAUAAACAAUCCACCCCUCUUUCAGAGUUAAAACGUUAGUUACAAAUAUGGCUUUAAAUUCCACAAUCUUUGUUUGAAAUUCUUUUAAUUUUGUACGCCAAUUUGCAACUAAUAAACUUGUGAUCUUUAGACAAGUUAGUAAGUUUCCAAACAUGUUUCAUAGAUUGUAUAUCGCAUUUUAUGGCAUCUAAUCACAUACUUAAUUGAGAAUAAGAAACGACAUUUAUAAAUAUGUCAUUACAUCAACCAUAUAGUGGAUAUUGUAAUCAUGCUCUCACAAAUAGACUAUAUAGUCUGAUGGUAUAACUGAUCGUCUUUCCUUAACAAAUCUCAUUAAUAAAGUUGCAACCACUUCAUUCUGCACUUGAGAGAUUUAAGAAAUUUCAUUAUAAACUAUAUCAAAAAUAGUACCUUGAACCUCCACAAGUUUAGUCUAUGGUACAGGAGAUUCCAUAAUUAUCUGUAUAGGUAAAGACAAAAACAUAGUAACAUCCAUCAUACUAUUAUCUUUUAAUAGUCUGAGAGCAAUUAUCCUCUACAAUUACGUCAAUUUUUAAAAACUUUAGAGUAUGUGAUUCCAUAAUUCUUGUACUUUCUUUAGGGUCAUAAAAUCAAUACCCCUUUUAUAUAUGAAAAAAUUGAUUUCAUAAUAUCAGCCCACAAAAGACCAGAUAAAUUAGUCUUACUAAUCAUACUCAUCACCAUGUUCAAUAUGGUGCAUUUAUGCCUUUUGACCAAAUCUUUUUGUCAGAAUUUUCAGGUAUAGUAAUUAAAUUACCACCCCAGAAUCUACCAAGUAUUUGACAAAUGACCCUUUAAGUUAUUUCGCAUUGUCAUACUUGCCAAAAUACUCAUAGCCACUGUUAAACCUGACAACUUUUUAAGACCUUUACGAGAUGUAUAUGUCAUUAGGACUUAAACACAACUUUUGCAUAUGUGUCCUAAUUUCAAUAUCAGACAAUACAUAAUUUCAAGCAACUAAGGCUUCCAUCAUCUUAUAGCAGUGCAGUCCGUAGGCAAACCUCUUUUCAAGUGUUCAAGAAUGGAACGCUUCAUGGACAGUAAGCAAAUUCAAUCAUAUGUCCACAACUUAAAAUUUGAAGCAGUAAAAACCUUAAUGGUGACGGAAUUACCAUUUACAGAAAAGGUGACUGAAAAACAAGCAGUAUAUAAUUAGCAUCAUGUGAGCAUUGUGUAACUUGACGUACAAGUACACAUCCAGAGAGUUACAUGCAAAAUCAUAUAAUCACCUUUGGGCAGAAUACAUGAUAUGCAAUUGUACACUCCCAACAUGAUAAGGGUUAUGAGAAUAUAUUCCAAUCUUCGUGAAUUCAUCACCUUUGGGCAUAUGAACCAUUAGGAUCAGUCACUCCUCCACCACACUAUCAUGUAUGCCUCCAUGAACUAAUACACAAUCACCUCCUUUGGGAGUAUAACUAUGCAUUAGACCAGGAAACAUCCCAAUCAUCAUACGAGACCGAAAUUUCUCAAACCCAAUCAAGCGUGUCACUUUGGCGGUCACUACUCAAUUGAAUCAUUGAAAUUCUCUCAUACCAAGGAUAUAAACUUUACUCAUCACAUACACCAUAUAUAUGUGAUUUUAACUUUAGUGAUAGGGGCAUCAUAUCACCAAAAUCACAUAUCAUGCUAAUUACAUUGCUUUAUUCAUUAAUAUAUAUAUAGCGAACCUGAAAGUCAGAUUCCAAUGAGAUCAUUGAUCACAGUAAUACAAGAAAUUUCUCAUAACAGAUAAUAAAACACAUCUUAUGCACCCCAAUUACAUAUUACUAGAACAACAUAAAAAGAAUUAUGAUCUAUAAUAUCUCUCACAAAUUAACAUCAAUAGUAAUAUAUGGUACACCAAAUUGACAAGCUUGACAGCCGAUCCAUUAUCACUCAUGAGUUCAUAAGGUAAAAUUGACUCCAAGGCCAACAACUGAUUUAUUAAUCAAUUUUAGGUAACAAAUAUCAUUACUUCACCCAGUGGCCUAUUAAUUGAGUCAAACCAGAGAACCAAAUAUCUAAAAUUUAAUAGUAGAUACUAUUGCUCUGCAUAAAUGUUGUCAUACUCCUUAACCAUAAAAAAUAUUCAACUUGAUAGACAUUAACAAGUGACCAGAUGAGUUCAUGUACAAUAUGCAGUAACUUAAUUGACAUGCAUUACCCACAUUCAGCAGAUGUGUUAAUCAGUACAUCAGUUUGGUCACGAGUCCUUAAGUCGUCUAUCAUUCAAAAAUUACCAGUGUGUAAAGGAGUAUACUUGAGUAACAAAAGUUUCAUAAUCUUUAUUGUUUCUCAUCAGCUCAAUACAUAGCUCAAAUACAAUCUCAUAUGAAUUGUAUCUCAUUAAGCUAGCUUCAGUUCACAAUAAAGUUUGAUUUUUAUUGAUGAAUCACACCUUUUAUUAUGUAAUAACAUACUAGUAACCCAUCACUUGUAUUUCCAAAAUCACAGAAAAUACAAGAAAAAUACGCAAAAAUACACUAAAAAUACACGUAUUUAGGGUUCCAUAUGCAAUUUCACAUCAAUAAAACCAUCAAAAAUAUAAAAUAAAUAUACCACAAGAUAGGAAAUCACCAUACGAGUCCAACGCCACCAACCACGCGCCAAGAUAAGCUUCCACGUGCCUGCACGCGCCGUCUGAGUGCGCGGCGCGUGGGGCUCACGCGCAGCGUGCGUUCGACGCCUAGGCGGCGCGUGGCCGCGCGUGGGGGCGCGUGCGUCAUCCCCCAGCGACGCGCCGCCGACCCUCUUGCUCGUCUCGUCUCCCCCAAUCCAAAUUUGUGAUUUAAUUUAAUUUUCAUUGAACAAAAAAUCUCGAAAAUCACAAAUUAGGGCAAGAUCAAUACCAAUUAGGGCUAAUCCAUACAAAUUAGGGUAGAUCUGUACAAAUUAGGGCAAAACCAAUUGUGUUCGAGUUCUAGGGUUAUGGUUGCUAUGAUACCACAUGUUGAACGCAAAUUGCGCAACCCCAAGAUCUCCAUAACCAGAACAAGAACAUGCAUAAUUGAGUAGAAAGAUUAACGCACCUGUUUUAGGAUCCAUCGAACAUAAAGCGGAAGCAUAAAAAAGAUUACCCACAUAUAUCAAGGGAAUCCACGCAUCAAGUCCUUCUCCUCUAUUGCCCUCCGUAUCACUGGCUCAAUGAGCCAAGAUCUCCAUAACCAGAACAAGAACAUGCAUAAUUGAGUAGAAAGAUUAACGCACCUGUUUUAGGAUCCAUCGAACAUAAAGCGGAAGCAUAAAAAGGAUUACCCACAUAUAUCAAGGGGAUCCACGCAUCAAGUCCUUCUCCUCUAUUGCCCUCCAUAUCACUGGCUCAAUGAGGUGGCCCCCCUCACGUUUAGCGUUAGGUAAACGCCCCUUAGGUGAGGAUACAUGUGAGAAUUAGGGUUAGAGGAGAGACUUGAGCACUAUUUAUAGAGUUUCCAGCCAGUCUCUCUCAUUACGGGCCAGGCUCAACUCGGCCCACACUAGCCAGCCCAUAUUAAACUAAUUAAGAAACCUUCUAUCUCACCUUAGACCAACCAUGUUUUAUGGUAACCGUAAAAACAGUAAAUUACAAUAUCAAUUAAUUUAGUCCAUAUUAGGAAAAACUCUUACAUUAUCUGCUUGACCCGCACUUGAGUGAGGAGUCCGAUUCUCCGACUUGCUCACUCGCCUACUAGAGGGAUUCCUGCUUUGAUACCACUUGUCACGAGUCGAGAGAUUCCUUGGCCUCGGAAACGACCCGUGGGCGCCUAGCGAGCGGAAUUCGCCAGGCCAGCCCUUUCUUUAGCUGUUCCAUGAACGAUACGGUGAAUGAUUCUUCGUACGAGAUCCUACCACGCCCAGCUUCGCUCGGGCGUCUAGUCCAUCGAGUAAGACAGCAGUUCUCUUUAGGCACAACAAUUGGUUUCGACCUGCCAUGGCCUCGUCAGGAGAGCGGCAUCAGCUCCCGACCAGUUUAUGCACGGGAGGCCUACCCCGUCUUCAGAGCUCCUAAGUGAUAUAAUCCUUCUAUCCUAGAACUCCUAGCACCAACCGUCCGGACGCUACUCCUAAGGACCAGUUGUGUUCUACCCUUCUGCCUCACACUCUUCACCAGAUAACCCCAAGCGCCACUCACAAGUGUCACGAGUACGGGAGGAUUCACGGACCGUGACACUAGCACUGAGUUUCAGUCCGAGGCAAAACGAAUGGUUGGAAGUUUCCGGGAAACCGGGGAGAUUAGCAGAAAACGAAUGCUUAGUAAUAUUGAUGACGAUGUGGAAGUAUUUCGUUGAAACGAAUAGUCGGCACUUGUCUGAUUUUUCUAUUGUUGGCUUUUGUCAUCAAGUAUUUCGGUGGAAGUAAUUCGAUUGGGGAGAAUGGCGGAUAUUGUUCCGCCUCCUCGGCAUAUAUACAUUCUUAACUCUUGUUUCUCCGCAGAGAAGGGAAGAAAACCAGAAAGAAUUCAAAAAGGGGGAAAAUGGCGGAAUUCGUUCUGGGCGCAGUUUCCAUAGUGUCAGGGUACCUGGUGGCUCCGGUCAAUCGUCUUUGCGGCUAUGUGAUAUCCUACGAAGGUGACGUUCGCAAACUUAAGGCCAAAGUUGCGGAGUUGGGCAACGCGAGGCAAAACGUGCAGGAUUCCAUCAAGGAUGCUCAAAACAACGUGAAGCCUAUCAAAGCCCAUGUCAAUAAAUGGAUGGAAGAUGUAGAGAAGGACACCGGGGAGGCGCACCGUGUUCUGGAUGACGACGAAAGAGCUAAGAAAACUUGCUUCUACAGGUGGCUUCCCAAGGUGCGAUAUCGUCUUGGCAGGGAGGCGAGGAGGAAAACCGAAGACAUCCAGGGACUCAUUGAUCGGAAACCAUCUGGGGAGGUCUACGACGAUCCUCCUCCAGGACUCGUUGAUGGUACUUCCGACGUGAUUUCAUGGGCCGGUGAUCGAGGCGACACUACCUUUGAUUCUCGAGCUUCCAUCUUAGAGGACAUAAUGAAUACUCUGUAUGACGAGGAGCACAAAGUGAUUGGGGUCUACGGGCCUGGUGGCGUGGGGAAGACUACGCUGUUGAAGGAAGUUGAGAAGAAACUCAGAGAAGCGGGGAGACCGUUCCGCAUGAUCGUCAAAGUGAGAGUUUCGCAGAUUCCAGACUUGAAUAAUAUCAGAGACCAGAUCGCUGACGCCUUGGGUCUGGAUCUGAAAGACAAGCAAAGCCCAGAGGGAAAAGCAGAUGUUCUGUCAGAGAGAUUGAAGAGUAAUCCGAAUGAGAAGGUUCUCAUAAUAUUUGACAACCUAUGGGUAAAACUUGAAUUGGAGGCGGUUGGAGUUCCUUGGGGAGACGUGAGCAGCAAAUGCAAGUUGUUGCUCACGUCAAGAUUUAAAAAUGUGGUGGAGCAACAAAUGGGUGCCGAUCAAACAUUUCUUCUUCAAGGUUUAACGGACGGCGAAGCUUUCAAGCUAUUUGAAAACAAGGUCGGCGACAAGCUCAAAGACAAUGAGGAAUUGAAAUCAAUAGCGAAUCAAGUGGUCAAGAAGCUCGCAGGUUUGCCUCUUUUGAUUAACUCUGUUGCAACCACUUUGAAAUCUGGCGAUGAGUCCGCAUGGAGAAACGCGCUGAUAGAAAUAGAUGACUCAAAUAAAAUAAAAAAAGAAACGAUAGUGAAGUUGAGUUAUGGCCAUUUGAAGAGCGAGGACGCGAAGUACUUAUUCUUGCUCUGUGGUCUUAGUGGCGGCACCAUUCCAGUCGAACUUCUGUUGGUACUAGCCAUGGGGCUGGGCUUGUUUCAAAGAUUUAACAAGACGAUGCCAGAUUUAAGGGAUAGAUUGAAUAAUAUGCUCGAUGAACUCCGUUCCGCUUGUUUGUUGCUGGAGGGUGGCGAUGACAAGGACAAUGUGACCAUACAUGAUCUCUACAGCGAGGUGGUCGUCUCAACUCCAUUUCAAGAUCAGAAUUCCUUAAUGAUGAACAACAGUUAUUGCGCAUUGUCAAAGGAAGAACUUGAGAAAUGUUGGGCAAUAUGCCUAGAUGAUGAUGGUACAGAUAGGCUUGCUAAACUAAUGCCGUGUCAGUUUCCAAGCUUGAAGAUACUUAUGCUGUCUAUGCCAGAAGCUUGGGAAUUGCGAGAAUGUGUAGAAGAUUUAGGAGUUCCAUUUGAUGUGGAUUAUUGCUCGACACUACUAGAUUUCAAGGACAUGAAGGAGCUUCGAGUCCUAUGUCUUCGCUUCAUGCACAUCACCAAUUUUCCUCCCUCAAUCAAAAUCCUCGAGAACCUCCGGUCAUUAUAUUUAUACAAUUGCCAUGUGGAGGAUGUGACGAUUAUUGGCAAACUCAAAGCAUUGCAGAGUCUCAGCUUCACAAGGUCGACAAUUUCUAGGCUACCUAAAGAAAUGGGGGAACUUACAAAUUUGAGAUUGUUGAAUCUAACCAAUUGCAAAAUGCUUUGGAGAAUUGAGCCUGCUGUCCUAGAACGCUUAAUCAAAUUAGAAGAGUUACAUAUGAAGGGAAGCUUUGAUCAAUGGAUGGGCAAAAAUGAAAAACCAUCAGAAUCGUGUAAUGCUAGGCUUGCCGAGUUGAGGAGCAUGACAAAACUAAAUUCUCUGGAAAUAUCGAUUUGUAAUCCCAUCAUACUCUUGGAGGUUGAUGACCUGCCAUUUGAGAACUUGACUAGAUUUUGGAUCAACAUAGGAAAUGUUUACGGAAGGGAAUUUAAAUGCUUGAGGACCAUGAAGAUCAAAUUGGAAGGGCACGAUAGUAUUCUUUCAAAAACAUGGGUCCAGAAAACUCUCCAGAAAACUCAAUACUUGUGUUUGGUCGAAUUGGGAGAGUUCGAGAACGCUAACGGGUUGUGCAUUCAAGGAUUUCUGCAAUUGAAGCAUCUUGACAUUUGGAACAGCCCAUCAAUAAAGUAUAUUGCCAGUUCACCCAAUAGUGCUUUUUCGAUUUUAGAGUCUUUGUUCCUCAAUAAUCUUAUCAAUCUGGAGAAGAUAUGCCAUGGCCACAUCGCGGCAGAGUGCUUCAGCAAACUAAAAGCUAUGAGAGUCAUAGAGUGCAACCGAUUGGAAUACUUGUGGAGUCUUUCACAUACGCAAAAUCUUGUACAGUUAGAAAAGAUUAGAGUAUGGAAUUGUAACUCAAUGCAAGCCAUUGCAAGAAAAGAUGCAGUUCCUGCCGAUUGCGAAGUUGAGUUGCCUUACCUACGUUGUAUGUAUUUGGCUGACUUACCAAAUAUGAGGAGUUUUUGCCUAAGAGUUGAGAUGACUUCAGAAGGUACUCCAAUUCAGGUAAAUUCUUCAUUUUCUCCCCCAUGUUAGUUUGUCUUAUUGAGAGGGUAUAAGUUUAUUCAACAAUAGGUAGAGGGAAGCCUCUUUCUAUGACUGCUUUUUAUUUUAUUUUAUUUUAUUUUAUUCCCAAUUUUAGAUAAUUGCACUAAUUAUUUGAGCUCAAGGGUUUCUACUAUGACUAAUUUAUUACUCAUGUCACAUUUUUAACGAGUAGAAGAAAUAGUGUAUUGAAUGAAUGAACCUUCAAUGAAUGAACGAAAUUGAAUAUUUUCAAAAUGAAUAAAGCAACCUCUGGAGAUUAAAUCAACCGAAGGCAAACGAAGAGUCACAUAGCAAAGAAAGUCCACAUAAUUUGUGUCCCAACUUCAUGCAAGUUGGAACUGAUUCCAACAUAUCAUGCCAUCAUAACUGUGUCAACGUCAACUAGUUUGGGGAUUUUUCCUUCUCCAUUUUCUUAGGCUCAAUGGAAGAUCUUAAGCUUUCGCUCUUCAUUCAAUUGAGUUUUAAAUAUUUUAUAUUGAUCGAUUAAGUUUUCGACGUUUUUAAAAGCAAGAAGCCCAUUCGUACACUUUGGUUCCAUUCAUAUUCUUUCAGGUGGGGGUUGUGGAUGAGGGAGGAGGAGAUGAAGGGACAAAGUUAGUAACCACUACUUCAAAUUUACAGAAUACUUAUUCAGAUUCCUUCUUCGACAGAAAGGUAAACAUCCCUUCUCUUAAGAUUUUACUAAUAAUAGCCAUUGAUAAUUGGCUUGCUAGGGCAGAUAAUAAUAUCUCUUUGAAGAUUCUUAUUUGAUUUUAUUUGUUAAAAUAUGUUCACGGUUUAUAACUACAUUUGUCAGUGAAUAUUAAUUCUUCCACCGCAUUAGAUUGGCGGUUAGGGUUAGGCCAAAUUAUCAAUUUUUUUCACAAUUGUAAUCCGAUGCAUAACCCUUAUGAGCAGGCUAGUUUACCAAACUUGGAGAAGUUAAAGCUUAAGUCGGUGGGAUUGUUCAAAAGGAUAUGGCACGAUGAACUUUCCAGAAGUUCCUUUUGCAAAUUAGCCACCAUCAGUGUCAAGAAUUGCUCCAACAUACUCCACAUCUUCCCUUUGACAAUCAUGGGGAGAUUGCACAACCUGAAAAGUGUCAGGGUUAAUAACUGUCCAUCCUUGAAAACAUUGUUCGAUUGUGGGUCCUUGGAUUCAAAUAUGGAGCAAACAACGGUAUUGCUCCCCGAAUUGGUAAGCAUCGACAUUAGAAGCUGUCCCUCCCUAAAAUCGUUGUUUAAUUGUGGGUCCCUUGAUUCAAAUGUGGAGGACUUAAAGCUUGGCUCGGUGGGAUCGUUCAAAAGGAUAUGGCACGAUGAACUUUCUAGAAGUUCCUUUCGCAAAUUAGCCACCAUCACUGUCAAGAAUUGCUCCGACCUACUCCACAUCUUCCCUUCGACAAUAGUAGGGAGAUUGCACGACCUGAAAAGUGUCAGGGUUAAAUACUGUCCAUCCUUGAAAUCGUUGUUUGAUCUUAGGUCCCUAGAUUCAAAUACAGAACAAAAUGCGGUAUUGCUCCCUAAAUUGGAAUGGAUCGACAUUGAAACCUGUCCCUCCCUGGAAUCGUUGUUUCAUUGUGCGUCCCUCGAUUCAAAUGCGGAGCACAAAAUUAUAUUACUCCCCAAACUGGAGAAAGUGAGGGUGAGUGGAGCAAAAAAGCUAAGACACGUGGUCACGAGCCACUCCCAAAUAGUUUUGGGUUUUCCUAGUCUUGAAACUGUUAGUGUUGAGAAUUGUUCUAACCUGAGAUAUCUCUUCGCCGAAUAUACGGCCACAACUUUGGAGAAACUUGAGCUGCUAGAAAUUACUAAAUGCGAACAAAUGAAGGAAGUGAUUCUCGAGAAAGAGGUUGGUCGAUCAAAGGCAGAAGUGAUGAGUUUCCCUUGCUUAAGUGAAUUAACACUUAAGGAGCUCGAUAACCUGAUUAGUUUUAGUUCAGGAAGUGUCAAGAGGCAGAUAAGCGAGACAGCUGAAGAAAAUGAUGAAUCGCCACGACGAUAUUGCUCCCUGAAUUGUCCAUCCUUGAAAUCAUUGUUUGAUUUUGGGUCCCUAGAUUCAAAUACGGAACAAAACGCGAUAUUGCUCCCUGAAUUGGAAAGGAUCAAAGUUGAAAGCUGCCCCUCCCUGGAAUCGUUGUUUAAUUGUGCGUCCCUCGAUUCAAAUGCGGAGCACAAAAUUAUAUUACUCCCCAAACUGGAGGAAGUGAGGGUGAGUGGAGCAAAAAAGCUGAGACACGUGGUCACGAGCCACUCCCAAAUAGUUUUGGGUUUUCCUAGUCUUGAAACUGUCAGUGUUGAGAAUUGCUCUGACCUGAGAUAUCUCUUCCCCAAAUAUACGGCCACAACUUUGGAGAAACUUGAGUUGCUAGAAAUUACUAAAUGCGAACAAAUGAAGGAAGUGAUUCUCGAGAAAGAGGCUGGUCGAUCAGAGGCAGAAGUGAUGAGUUUUCCUUGCUUAAGUGAAUUAACACUUAAGGAACUCGAUAACCUGAUUAGUUUCGGUUCAGGAAGUGUCAGGAGGCAGCUAGGCCAGACAACCGAAGAAAAUGAUGAAUCGCCACGACCGCUAUUCAAUGAGAUGGUUCGUUCUAUUCUUUACUGUGAUCCUUUGUAUUCUCGCAUUAUCAUGUUUUAUAAUGAAGAAUGUAAUGAAUUUGUCCAACUUAUCCUCAUUUCUCACAUUAUCCUUGUGCAGGUCACAUUUCCCAAUAUGAGAAAUCUAAAAAUUGAAGGCGUUCCAUGCAAAGAGCUGUGGAACAAUCAUGUUCUCGCCGAUUCCAGUGUUUGUUCCCACCAAUUCCUUUCAAAAAAUGUUGAGGUUAAAAACUGUCCAUCCUUGAAAUCAUUGUUUGAUUUUGGGUCCCUAGAUUCAAAUGCGGAACAAAACGCGAUAUUGCUCCCUGAAUUGGAAAGGAUCAAAGUUGAAAGCUGCCCCUCCCUGGAAUCGUUGUUUAAUUGUGCGUCCCUCGAUUCAAAUGCGGAGCACAAAAUUAUAUUACUCCCCAAACUGGAGGAAGUGAGGGUGAGUGGAGCAAAAAAGCUGAGACACGUGGUCACGAGCCACUCCCAAAUAGUUUUGGGUUUUCCUAGUCUUGAAACUGUCAGUGUUGAGAAUUGCUCUGACCUGAGAUAUCUCUUUCCCAAAUAUACGGCCACAACUUUGGAGAAACUUAGGUGGCUAAAAAUUACUAAAUGUGAACAGAUGAAGGAAGUGAUUCUCGAGAAAGAAGCUGGUCGAUCAGAGGCAGAAGUGAUGAGUUUUCCUUGCUUAAGUGAAUUAACACUUAAGGAACUCGAUAACCUGAUUAGUUUCGGUUCAGGAAGUGUCAGGAGGCAGUUAGGCCAGACAACCGAAGAAAAUGAUGAAUCGCCACGACCGCUAUUCAAUGAGAUGGUUCGUUCUAUUCUUUACUGUGAUCCUUUGUAUUCUCGCAUUAUCAUGUUUUAUAAUGAAGAAUGUAAUGAAUUUGUCCAACUUAUCCUCAUUUCUCACAUUAUCCUUGUGCAGGUCACAUUUCCCAAUAUGAGAAAUCUAAAAAUUGAAGGCGUUCCAUGCAAAGAGCUGUGGAGCAAUGAUGUUCCCGCCGAUUCCAUUGUUUGUUCCCACCGAUUCCUUUUAAAAAAAGUCGAGGUUAAAAACUGUCCAUCCUUGAAAUCAUUGUUUGGUUUUGGGUCCCUAGAUUCAAAGAUGGAACAAAACGCGGUAUUGCUCCCUGAAUUGAAAAGGAUCAAAGUUGAAAGCUGUCCCUCCCUGGAAUCGUUGUUUAAUUGUGGGUCCCUUGAUUCAAAUGCGGAGCACAAAAUUAUAUUGCUCCCCAAAUUGAAGGGAGUGAGGGUGAGUGGAGCAAAAAAGCUGAAACACGUGGUCAUGAGCCACUCCCAAAUAGUUUUGGGUUUUCCUAGUCUUGAAACUGUCAGUGUUGAGAAUUGCUCUGACCUGAGAUAUCUCUUUCCCAAAUAUACGGCCACAACUUUGGAGAAACUUGAGUUGCUAGAAAUUACUAAAUGUGAACAAAUGAAGGAAGUGAUUCUCGAGAAAGAGGCUGGUCGAUCAGAGGCAGAAGUGAUGAGUUUUCCUUGCUUAAGUGAAUUAACACUUAAGGAACUCGAUAACCUGAUUAGUUUCGGUUCAGGAAGUGUCAGGAGGCAGCUAGGCCAGACAGCCGAAGAAAAUGAUGAAUCACCACGACCGCUGUUCAAUGAGAUGGUUCGUUCUAUUCUUUACUAUGAUCCUUUGUAUUCUCGCAUUAUCAUGUUUUAUAAUGAAGAAUGUAAUGAAUUUGUCCAACUUAUCCUCCUUUCUCACAUUAUCCUUGUGCAGGUCACAUUUCCCAAUAUGAGAAAUAUAAAAAUUGAAGGCGUUCCAUGCAAAGAGCUGUGGAACAAUCAUGUUCUCGCCGAUUCCAGUGUUUGUUCCCACCAAUUCCUUUCAAAAAAUGUUGAGGUUAAAAACUGUCCAUCCUUGAAAUCAUUGUUUGGUUUUGGGUCCCUAGAUUCAAAGAUGGAACAAAACGCGGUAUUGCUCCCUGAAUUUGAAAGGAUCGACAUUGAAAGCUGUCCCUCCCUGGAAUCGUUGUUUACUUGUGGGUCCCUUGAUUCAAAUGCGGAGCACAAAAUUAUAUUGCUCCCCAAAUUGAAGGGAGUGAGGGUGAGUGGAGCAAAAAAGCUGAAACACGUGGUCAUGAGCCACUCCCAAAUAGUUUUGGGUUUUCCUAGUCUUGAAACUGUCAGUGUUGAGAAUUGCUCUAACCUGAGAUAUCUCUUCCCCAAAUAUACGGCCACAACUUUGGAGAAACUUGAGUUGCUAGAAAUUACUAAAUGCGAACAAAUGAAGGAAGUGAUUCUCGAGAAAGAGGCUGGUCGAUCAAAGGCAGAAGUGAUGAGUUUCCCUUGCUUAAGUGAAUUAACACUUAAGGAACUCGAUAACCUGAUUAGUUUCGGUUCAGGAAGUGUCGGGAGGCAGAUAAGCGAGACAGCUGAAGAAAAUGAUGAAUCGCCACGACCGCUGUUCAAUGAGAUGGUUCGUUCUAUUCUUUACUGUGAUCCUUCGUAUUCUCGCAUUAUUAUGUUUUAUAAUGAAGAAUGUAAUGAAUUUGUCCAACUUAUCCUCAUUUCUCACGUUAUCCUCAUGCAGGUUACAUUUCCUAAUAUAACAUGUCUGGAAAUUAAGGGUCUUUGGUGCAAAGAGCUAUGGAACAAUCAAAUUCCCACCAAUUCCUUUCAAAAGUUGAAAUCUCUUGUAUUGGAGAAUUGUGACAAUCUCCAAUGUAUUGCCAGUUCUUAUAUGUGGAAGAAGCUGCAGCGCUGUCUCGAGAAACUAAAAGUGAUUUCAUGCCAUUCGAUCAAGAUCAUAUACGAAGGUGAUGGGACGAAUACAGAGAGUGGUGAAUUGAGGUGGCUGGUUUUGCUUGAUCUUGAAAACUUGAGGUGCAUUUGGCAGUCCGAUAGUCUCCCAAACAUCCCGUUCCCAAAUUUGAGAGACAUAGAGGCCGUGAGGUGCCCCCGUUUGGAAAUGCUUUUCCCUACCUUCACUGUGAAAUUUCUCAGGAAAAUCAAAGAGCUGGUGGUGGAGUCAUGUGAAGAUCUAGAACUAAUUGCUGGCCAUGAAAAAUGGGAAGAAGUGACCGGCACCACAAUCACCUUCUCCGAGUUAACUGAUCUUAAACUUUUCAAGUUGCCGAAAUUCAAAAGCUUCUUACCUGAGAAAUACUCUCUAAAAUUCUCGUGCUACGAGAACUUCCCAUCCUUGAAAGCCUUGAGUAUAGUAAGCUGUGGAGCAGAGCCAGACCUAAGCUAUGAAGUAGAGUCGAACCAACUCUCUGAUUACUCGGAAGACUCGGACCCGCGCUAUGAAGCAGAGUGGAACUAAGUCCUUGAUUACUCGGAAGACUCCCAAAUAGAAUGAAGACUUCGCAAGCAUUCAUAAGACAUCAGGUAUUCCUUCAAUAUUUCAUUGCUUUGGUUUGGCUUUUUGUUCCUUUGAAUCAAAAAUCGGUUUGUAUAGCUAAGACACAAUUCUUAGUGGGACCCAGACGCACUCUACAUCACGUGGCCCUCUCUCUUCCUUUUUCUCUCUCUCUAGCUCUCUUUCUUACUCUCUUCAACUAACGAUGUAUCGAUUCCCUUCUAUCCAUCCACCCACAGCCGCCACCGAGAGUCCAUCGCUGGCCACCACAUGACAUGGCGCGCUGAGAAGGGACGAAGAACAGAGAGCAUUGAUCGAAGGCUCUCGGUGAUUUCAAUUGAAUCCUUUCCUCUCACUUGGCUGCUUGUCGUCACCGCUUCCCGAUCACCACUUGUUCUGCUACCGCGAAGAAGUUCUGUAAUGUCGGAGUGCUCGAACUUGGGUCACGACUGCCUACUUCGACGAUUCCAUCCCUUGAUGUUGCUUCUAUUAUUUCUUUACUCAUAUCCGAUCUCAAUUGCUAUAGCUAAUCGUUCUCUAGUCAACUAAACCAUAUAUGCUAUGUUUUCUGUUCCUAUUGCUACUGUCUGUGUGCAAAUCAACGACUAUGAUUGAAGGGUUGUAUUAAUGAUUUGAAGCAGUGCUUCUCGGCCUAAAUUAAUGUAUGCAACCUGUUUGAUGAAAUUCCUGAACUAAGUCGGUGUGUAUUUUUUAUUCAAUUCUUGACCGAGAAUUCCCUUGAUUACUAGAUUGUUGAUCUAUACUGGUCAUUUAAGCAUAUUUGAGUUGUGUUUCUUCAUAGAAAAAUCAUAGGUGUUCAAUUUCAAACUUGUUUGGAAUCUGCUGGAACCUUGUCGAUACUUGCUGAUUCGCCAUUGUUGCGGCCCUGAGCUGAUGUCAAUUGGUCCUUGAUUUUAUGCUAUUCCACUCAAGUAAGCAUGUGCAGUGAUAUAAGAUUGUCUUAUGGUGAAUUUCAUGUUUGUUUGGAAAAGAAAUUAUGUCAUGGAUGAAUGAAAUUCUACUGGAAAUUGAUCCAUGUAUGCUGGCCCUGUCUUGAUAUCCCUGAUUGGGUGUGCUUUUGAUUCCAGCUUGAAGCUAGUUUGGUUAUGGGAUCAUAUAUGUUCAUGCUAGGAAAGUAAUAGGGUGAAUUUCAUACCAUUUAGCGAGAAUUGGGUUCAUCUCCGAACUUGAAUAUGCUAGAGCGAAGUAUUGCAUGCUGACCAUGAUUGUUUUGUUUAAAUUUGGCACUAAUUUGGUCUUUGAUUGAUGUCAUUUUGAUCAAGUAGACUCAUAUGCACUUAUAGGAUGAUAUGGCUCCUAUUCAUGUGAAUUAGUCAUCAAAAGAUCACAAUUUGUGGUCUUUAUGCUCUGUUACAAUUUUGAACACGUGCCGGAAUUUUUGUCUUUAUUUGGUUGCCUUCUUUAUUGCCCGUGGAUAAGUGAUAUGCAUGUGCAUGAUUAAAUUGAUGAGACGUGCGCUUGAUAUUGCCAUGAGAGUCUUGGCCUGAUAAAUAAUUUAGAGGACUCUAAUGUUAAUUGAAGUUUAAUUCCAUAAUUCUUGCGAUUCCAAAGGAAACCCUUUACUAGUACACAUAUUUUGAAGGUGAUAUGGUAGACUAAGCCAGAUUUGAGGAAAUCCCUCAACGAAGCUAGUCAAUGAGGCCCCUCGAAAUAUCGCAUGUAUGACACUUGCCAACAAAGUUCAUGUAUUCUCUUCCUCUCCUUUGACGCUCACCGUUCAAGGCUUAUUUACAAGAGCUAUUGCUUAAAUCUAAUUGAUCCUUCAAGUGUGUGUGUUUGUACCAAGACACUGUGCACAACACCAAUUGCAACCUACUCAUUCAUGAUGUCCUUUUUCUAGGAGUGUUCACUGGUCACUAUUGCUCAGAAUGAUGUUUCAAAGAUACAAUUUUUGUUUUCCUCCCUCCCCCAUAGAAUUUGCAAAGGCAUGUCACUAGCACUACUAGUAACCUGCCCUUGAAAUCCAUCAUGACCCUGCCCAUAUGAUCCACCAGGAGUAGGUCCCUAGUUCCGAUUGUCUCUCCUAUAAACUAUUCUGCAAUGGAGGUGCAGAGCUCCAUCUAUCUCCUUGCAUCUAUCUCCUUGCAGCAGGUCUCUCUAUUGAUGAUAGUAAUAAUUUUUUAUGACCCUGCUGAUAGGAGGUCCCCUGAUCUGAAAAAGUUGAAUCUUUUCCCUCUAAGAAGUUUAUGCUAUAAAUCUCGAAUGGAAAACACUUAGCCAAGAAGAACUUGAUGAACCAUAUGAAUUUAUCUUAAUGUCCACACGAUAACAUCAACUCAUCCAAAGCAUUUUAUACAACAAUGGCAUUGUGUGUCCUUUCCACAACUUGCUUUAAUCAAUAGAGAAUAUCCAUCUGAAUCACAACUUUGUCCUGCUCAGCUCAUUCUACUCAUAUUUCUCAAUUUCAGCAACUCAAAACACUGCGAUUUAACCCAAAAUCACUUGAAAAUUUUGUUAUAUAUCAUUGCAUUUGCAUACUAUUAGAAUCGAAUGCCACUAAUUUUACAUAGUCGAUCAUGUCGUGAGAGCAUCGGGAAGAGUGGUGGGCUAUCCGAGGAUUUUGCCACCCACAUCGGGAAACGUUUCGAAACCGGCCAAAGGACCAACUUUACCGUCUCUGCUCACAUGGAUGGGAUACUGUAUCAGGUGGCCUCUCAUUUCCUUGGGAUUAUGUUGGUCCUCAUCCACAUAAGCUUUCCAAUUCUGUUUGGCUAUUUUGUUCACCCUCUUCACGCAUUCAGUGCUUUGAGGUUCCCUAAAGCUGUCCUCUAAAUCUCCAAAGUGCUCUGCCCAAAGCAACAUCCUAUAACCAUAAACCUACGCAGCAUAAGCUAACAUUAUUAGUCACAAGCUUAAGGUUUUGAUAGAUGUCGCUACACUCGCAAGGGUGUCUACCUAGUACCUCUAUUUAGAUAAGAGGCUAAUCCGAUGUACUAACCUGGCCAUGCGGAUGCCUCUUUUUCCCAUCCCAAGUGUGAUGCGGCUGAUAAGCCCCAUUGCGAUUUCGGUGUCUCUUGAGCCAUCUAGAGAUCUUUGGUUGAUAUUUGCCGAUCCCAUGAUCACAUACUCAUCAUCUACUAUCAUCCCUUUGGCAUGCACGUAUAUCAUGAACCUGUGAAACUUUUGAACCGAAGCCUGCAUGGAUAGAAACGACAGCAUGUUUCAAAGCAGAAGUCUUUUUACCACUCAUUCAAAAACCAUAGCUCUUAAAGACUAUUUUUGUUUUGCUUUUUUAACAGAUAAGUCAAAGGAAGAAUCCAUGAAAAGAGUAUAGACAUAUACCAAGGCAUUAUUUUCGGAUUGCUGAUUCGUUGCCUGGGAUGAAGAUUGUGUAGAGGACAAGGGCUCCCGCUUGCCAAGGCAAUAGAAGUUCAAGUAAUCUGACAGAUGGUACUUGUGUGACAACCCGACUUUUUUGAGAGUCUGGGCUAUAAUUUUGUACAUCAUCGUCAUGGUUUGUCCCCGUCCACGUCAUGGUUUGUCCCCAUCCACAUUAUCAAUACAUAAAUAUGAGAGUAGUGAAUGUUUAUCUCUUGGAGAAAAAUACUAAAUGACCUAAACAAGGUCGGGUCUCAUUUUUUCCCCUUUGAGUAGCUAGGUUUCUUCUGCUUGGAUCACUUCCUUUUCUGCUUAACUCUGUUCAAUGUGUUAUUCAGUUUCAAUUUGCUAGGACGUUACUUAUUGAUAUACCGUUAUCGAAAUGCAAGUGUCAUCGCUAUUUGUUUGCAAGAUGAAAGAGUUUAUCCUUGAUCUGACCUGCCAGAAGAGAAUUUCUUGCACUGCAGCACUAGUAAGGACACCCUCGGGCCACAUUGGUAUCACUAUAUACACGUAGAAGCGCUCAUUUUCACUGAUCUUUCUUGCGAUCUUCAACGCCAGCUCCAUCGGCACUAGAUUGUUUGCACCUGCUUGUCAAAACCAAAUCAAGCGUUGUUUCCCAUGAAAACUUGAACUCAAGAAAUUAGGACUGAAACAAAACUAGAAAAUGGGGGAAAAAUCUAAAUUUAAAAAGGUUUGACCUCAGAAAUAUAACAUAUUGAAUCAGAAGUCAAUUUUAAUGUCUUAUAUAGUGAGAUCUAGCUCUUAUUAGCUGAUACACAAUCCCCAGAGGAAGCAAAGUUCGAUACUCUUUACUAGAGGUGCUAUUGCUCACUAAACUCAAGUCAGUUAGAAUGAAUAGAAAUGUGCAUCAUAUACCUGCAUUUUUGUAUGAUGGCCAAUGGUAGGAAGAGCCAAGAAAAUAUUGGUUUUCAAUAUAGAUGAAGUGUUGCGCCGAUCUAAUCGCUUUCACAUAUGCCGUGUGAAUCCUCUUGUCUACUUUCAAGUUCUUUCCGCAUAUAAGAUUCUGCAACCAUGAAGAGAUUGAAAGAAGCAACAUUAUCAUUGUGGGCUUCAAUCUAUAUUAAAAAACACUAAGAGUUGUGCACAAGAAAGAAAAGUGACUUUCUAAUGUGAGGAAAAAUUUUCAAGUUACGCUUAUAUAACGGCCACUUGCCUAUCUACUAGCAUGGAAUUAGCAGCUAAAACUUACUUGCUUUGCAGCUUCUUCAACGCUCUUUGGGAAUCCCUUUACAGAUCCUGAAUCAAUUGAUCUGAAGAUCUAUACCAACGUAAAAUAGAAAUGAAAGACCAUCAUUACACUUCGUUUUGUUUACGAAUGAAGUCCUUAAAAAUGGUCAUUAAUUUUACAUAAAGUUUCCCGACCUGCACGUGCCAAUUUUCCAGGUCAUCUUCGUCCUUAACUUGUACUUUUUGUUGCCAUCGGGGCUUGUCGAGGGACAAAGUAUCCAUGAAAUCCUGUCAAGCCUUAAGAGAGCAUUCUCAUGCCAACGCCUGACGUUUUUUAGCUUGAACACGCGCCACUUCACCGCCUUUUUCCAUCUCUGUUCGAAAUUCUUCAAUAUGUCAUACACAGCUUGUCCCUCAACUUUGCAAUGUAGAUCAUGCCACGGUUGCCUUGGGACAUUGACAGUGGACUACAGUCGUUACCCAAAAAAAAAAAAGCAAUGAUUAAAUGAUCAGAAAAUAACGUUUACUUGUGUUUACAAUGCUGAAGAGAAACAUUAGCUUAAUUACCGUGAAUGUUGGGUUGUGAAUGUCAUUGUUAAACACGGUGUCACGAUCGCUAUAGAGUCUAUGCUUGGGAGUGUUGUGUCGGCCAUCACAUAGGUCCAACCCACCAAUGAAAGCUGUUAUUUUGCGGUUGUUUCCCGAGGCUUGAGUGUCGAGAACCACGCACUUUUGGUGGUGCGUGUACAGGGUCCCCACCACCUGGACUACAAAAGAUCCACACACCAACAAAUUAAACCAAACAUUUUCAUAGAUUUAUGCUGGAUUUCAAUUGAAUGUGCAGUCUCUACAACACUAUCAAAUUCCCUAUUAGAGCUGUCCCAGAUGCAUGUCAUUAGGUCAGAAAACACAUGAUAUGAUAUAAGACAGCAUGAGACAAAUCAAUAAACUUCCACGGAUAGUCUGAUGAAAAGAGAACCUUUCCCAUGAAAUUAUACCCGAUUGGAAUAUCAUGAAAUUAUACCUGAUUGGAAUAAUUAGGUAAUAUAUAUCAAAAGUAAUGCUUUUGAUGCAAUCAGACAAUGAGAUUCUGAUUAAGAAUCGACCUAAACAUCUAAGGAUACAUACAUGUUGCUUGAAAAUGCUGAGUUUGGUGCUUGCAUAACGAGGAGCAAGCACACAGUGGACACCAGAGUGUUGAAAAAACUUCUUUGUCUCUUCAUCAUGAGUUUGCAUCACGCCAUCCUACACAACAACAUGGCACAUGCCGAGUCUCAAUGGUGAGAGAUCUCGAUAAAGAAAUUUUCCUAAGUCGGACAGAUUUUUAGUCACAAAGAGCAUGGAUUUGAGAUUUGGCCAAAUGGUGGGUUGCACCAUAAAUAAGGAUGCUUAUUCAAGAAAGAGCCCUUAUAUAACAUAUUCUCCAUUUGGAUUUUGCAAAGGCUAACUGAAAGGAAGAACUAUUAGAGGUCAAGAUUUUGAUUAGUCCAUCCUUUGUGUCGAAAAACAAAAAACUUCUUGUUUUGUAAACAUUCAUUAAGCCGACAGUAAAAGUGAGAAAAUCCUUUACUGACUAUGCACCAUUGAUAAAAAGGGUGAUCCUUAGAUGCGAUGCCAGUAGAAUGAAAAAUAUGUUCGCAUGGGCUCUCACCACCAUUGAUGCAUUGAUUGUAACUUCAAACCACUCUAUUGCACUGGCCCAACACAUCAGUAGUGAUGGAAGCCGCGGGCGGACAAAUUUUUCUCGACCUGACAGUAUUUCAGUCAUCCCAAAAACCAUAAAGACAUUUUCAUGUUUCAGCAAUGCAUAGUUACAUGUAAGCAUGGUUUAGUAUUACCGUCUUCAAGAGGAACUUGUCGUGUGAAGUUUUGUCAUCCCAAACGAGCACGACCACUCGGACGCCUUCCUCGGACUUGUGCUUCAGGAGCUCCCCUAAAGAGAGCUUUCCUUCAUUCGGCAAUUCCCUUGUUGUUAGGGAAAUCCCUUAUGAUGUUUUGAAGAUGACAAAAUAAAUCAAAGGCUACUAACAUGUUUGAUGGUUGAGUAAUAGACCAUGCAGAUAAUAGAACAUGUAAAGGAUAUUAUCAAAGUCUGAAGACUGCUAGACUCAAGACUCAAAGUCUGAAGACUGCCAGACUCGAGACUCAAAGUCUGAAGGCUACCAGACUUUAGUAUCAAAGUCUGUUCUACCUCAGAAGUCUGUUAACUCUGACUAAUUCCAGAUUGAACGUGAAUGAUGAACCAGAAGACAGACUCUAUGCUGAAGCUGAACUGGGUACAGACCCAGAUUGUAAAGUCUAGAGACUCAGAUUGUAAAGUCUAGAGACUCAGAUUGUAAAGUCUCAAGACUCAUAUCGUAAAGUCUAAAGACUCAGACUUUACAUCCAGAUUCGAUGAAUCGUAACUCAAGCCCAAUCAUACAACGGCUAGUGAUCUGGUUUGAAUUCCACAUCAAGAUUGAUUUGAUUGAUUCAAUCUACUUGAUUGACGAUUGGAUGUUGAAGACAAGAAAUUUCUAUACGAAGAAGCUUUACUUAUGGAAACCAAGAUUUCGUUUGUAUGGGCGAUCGGAAUCAAUUUGGGAUUCUACCUUUGUCACUCAACGGCUACCAAAUCUUCUAGAUACAGAGCUGUCCAAUGGGUAUAUUGGAAGACGAUUCUCCGGGAUACUGUCCAACGGGUAGUUUGGAAGUGGAGGAGUAUUUAAGGAGAUCAUGGACCGAUGAGCAAGUAAGAGACGGAGCGUAGAAUUUAUAAUUCCAAAGUCUAAGCGACUUUAGAUCAUAUACUUGUCUCUUGAGAGCUUAAACGUUUGUAAUCAUGAGAGAAAUACCAAGAGAGUGACUUAGUGAGAUAGUGUGAUCUACUAAGUGUUUGCACUCGGAGUUGUAAUCUCUUGUUGAUUGCAUAGUGGAAUCCAGCCAAGAAGGCUGUUAUCGUGGGAGAGUGGACGUAGGCUUGGAUUAAGCCGAACCACUAUAAAUCUUGUGUUCUUAUUCUCUUCCCUAACUCCUUUAUUUUGUUCAUACUAGCACUCUCAAUUGGUAUCAGAGCCAAGUGCUCGGUUUAUAAAAGUGUUUUUACUUUUGAGCUAAAGAUUCUUUAUGGCUAGUAUGUUGGCACCAGGACUUAUGGAAGGGCAAAGCAACACAAGGCCACCAUAUUUCGAUGGAAGAAAAUACAAGCAGAAUGGCCAGAAAAGAAUCAUGAAAGAAGAUGAUGAGCAAAGAAAUCUAUGCUUAAUGGCACAUUCAGAAUCUGAGUCUGACUCAGACACAGACUCAGAAACAGAGUCUCAUUCAGAACCAGACUCAGAAUCCGAUGAGGAAAUCAAGGGGAGAAAUCAAAUCCAAAAGAAAAGGAAAAGAAUCGUGAUCAUCUCAAAAAGGCAACAAAUUGAGGGGGAGCUUUGAUCAAUUAUGGAAAAAUCUUUUUUGAUUGAUCGUGAUCUUAUUAUGGAUGGAAGGAAAGGUAAUUGUGUCAGAAUUUAUUCUACAAAAUCCGGUUAGUGCAUCUCUUAUUACCUUUUGUCAUUAACAAAUCUCAUAUUGAUAUUAUCAUGACAAAAAUGGUACGUGAAUUUUAUGAUGCAUCAGUGAUUUUUAUUGGAUAUUUGCUGAUAUAAUCGAAGUGAGCUAUAUUGCAUAUCUUUAAUAUUCGAUAAAAGCUGAUUUUUGAAAAUUGUGAUUCAUGCAAGAUAUUUGUUAUCAUUCUCUACGUGAAUCCAUUAUCACUUUUUAAUUAUGACAAAAAGGGGGAGAAGUUAUGAAUAUGCAUAUGUGCUGAUUGGUUAAUAUUAUAUUAUCUAUGGCAUAAUAUUGAGCUGCGAUUAUUUUCUAUAUAUUCUUAUGCUCAAUCUAUUUGUUAUCUUGUGAUAUCCUUUGAUUUAAAAGUAUGUUUACAAAUCUGCAUAUUCAGAGAUUGUUUUGUCAUCAUCAAAAAGGGGGAGAUUGUUAGGGAAAUCCCUUAUGAUGUUUUGAAGAUGACAAAAUAAAUCAAAGGCUACUAACAUGUUUGAUGGUUGAGUAAUAGACCAUGCAGAUAAUAGAACAUGUAAAGGAUAUUAUCAAAGUCUGAAGACUGCUAGACUCAAGACUCAAAGUCUGAAGACUGCCAGACUCGAGACUCAAAGUCUGAAGGCUACCAGACUUUAGUAUCAAAGUCUGUUCUACCUCAGAAGUCUGUUAACUCUGACUAAUUCCAGAUUGAACGUGAAUGAUGAACCAGAAGACAGACUCUAUGCUGAAGCUGAACUGGGUACAGACCCAGAUUGUAAAGUCUAGAGACUCAGAUUGUAAAGUCUAGAGACUCAGAUUGUAAAGUCUAGAGACUCAGAUUGUAAAGUCUAGAGACUCAGAUUGUAAAGUCUCAAGACUCAUAUCGUAAAGUCUAAAGACUCAGACUUUACAUCCAGAUUCGAUGAAUCGUAACUCAAGCCCAAUCAUACAACGGCUAGUGAUCUGGUUUGGAUUCCACAUCAAGAUUGAUUUGAUUGAUUCAAUCUAAUUGAUUGACGAUUGGAUGUUGAAGACAAGAACUUUCUAUACGAAGAAGCUUUACUUAUGGAAACCAAGAUUUCGUUUGUAUGGGCGAUCGGAAUCAAUUUGGGAUUCUACCUUUGUCACUCAACGGCUACCAAAUCUUCUAGAUACAGAGCUGUCCAAUGGGUAUAUUGGAAGACGAUUCUCCGGGAUACUGUCCAACGGGUAGUUUGGAAGUGGAGGAGUAUUUAAGGAGAUCAUGGACCGAUGAGCAAGUAAGAGACGGAGCGUAGAAUUUAUAAUUCCAAAGUCUAAGCGACUUUAGAUCAUAUACUUGUCUCUUGAGAGCUUAAACGUUUGUAAUCAUGAGAGAAAUACCAAGAGAGUGACUUAGUGAGAUAGUGUGAUCUACUAAGUGUUUGCACUCGGAGUUGUAAUCUCUUGUUGAUUGCAUAGUGGAAUCCAGCCAAGAAGGCUGUUAUCGUGGGAGAGUGGACGUAGGCUUGGAUUAAGCCGAACCACUAUAAAUCUUGUGUUCUUAUUCUCUUCCCUAACUCCUUUAUUUUGUUCAUACUAGCACUCUCACUUGUGAGCUCUCUCACAAGCCUCACAUGAUGAUAAAUGGACCAACCAAUGAUGUAGAUCAAGUGGUAGGUCUCCAAAAUGGCAUGGCAUAUAUCCUUUCAGCACCUACCUUGCUCAUAAAUCUUCCCAUCAUCAAGCAAAAUCUAAGGCAGCUUGCGCUUUGGGACAUGAGCAUCUUGCUAAAAUGUCACAUCCCCACCUUUCCUUAAGUGGAAAAUAUGUGUUUGGUACACUCACAUAGUUUGGCCCAACCCCAACACCAUUCUUGCAUAAUAGAUUAUCACUAAUCAGCAUGAAUUGGAUCGAGAUGUGAAGUUUUGGAUAGGACUUGAGGGGGCUUCUGAAGUUGUCAAUUAUUGGGAACUAGCCAUUGAUCGUGUUGCCAAACACAAUCUUGUCCAUUGGUAUAUCCACGACCCUGAUGAGCUCGGCCCCAAAUGCAUCUUUGUUCUUCACAUAAGACUCCACCUUCAUUAUUGGCUGCGCUAAGGAGGAAUAGAAUUGCUUGUCCCAUGGAGGUUUUCACAAUUCAAAAUUAUUAACACCUAAAUUUUGUCAACAAUGCACGGACAAAAUUAUGAACAACAAUAAUGGUAAAAAAUUGUCACACGACUUUACCUAAAAAAAAAAAAAAUUGUCACACGCCAUUGCUGGACUUCGAUUGCGGGUUCCAGUGUCGUCUGGCUGCAGCUCUGAUCGCGUGCUGUUCGACCGCGAGGCGCUCCUUCGGUUUGUUCUUUCACUUCAGUGAUCGGCGGAAGGUUGCCGUAAGUUCAAACCGCAUGGAAAAGGACGCCCCGGCUCAGUCGACUCCCAACCAUCACUUUCGAAUCUUCUCUCCACUGAUUGAGCUCUUCCAUUUCUUACUCUAAAUCAAGCCCUAGUGUCGUCCUCGCGUCAAGCUCUGGGAAUCAGAAUCAAAGUUGCUCUCGCGUCGAAUGAAUGUUUGGAUACUGCUCAGGAGGCGUUCGAUGAAAUGAUAUUUGGUCCUAAAGUGGUGGUGUGAUUAAUUGUCUUCACAUUGCAAGUGGGAUCAUAAAAUUCCAUGAAUUGGACCUUUGAUUGUAUGCGACGACACGAUAUUCUUCCGCAGCUAUGUUCGAGAAAGCUGCGAAUUUAAUUAAUGCGAGACAAAGGGCGUAGCGUUCCGUCGAUGAAGCUCAAAACAACACGAAGCCGAUCAAAGCGGGCGUCCAGAAAUGGGUAGACAGGCGCGGAGAUCCUUGCCGAUGAGGCGCGCGGCGUGCUGGAAAACGACAGAAGAGCCAAGAAAACUUGCUUCCGCAGGUAGUUUCCCAACCUGAAGGGGCACUAUCGUCUUGGCAGGGUGGCGAGGAGGACAGCCGAGGCCAUCCGGGCACUUGAAUCGCAG
rnacentral:lncRNA from 1 species